rnacentral:lncRNA from 1 species
AAAAAAAGAAACAAAUUCUUUCAGAGUUGUCUGUUACUACUACAUGGAGAAAUGACGGGGAGUUGCAGUUUCAGAGGUGAGGGAGGGUUUCGUAAAUUUCAUAAUUUUUUUCGUUAUUCAAUUUAUAAUUUUUUUUGGAGUAAUGAAAUGUUUGUAAUAUCAUUGAUUGGUUUAUCUAUUAGUAUCCUUAUAAUUUUAUCUUGCUUCAAAUUCUUAAAUGGGCCAUAUGCAUCAAGUGUUCGAUCAAAUGUCUGAAUGCGUAAGCAAAUACUAGUUGGCUAAUUUUGAACAUGUUAAUCGGUUUACAAAUUGAUAUAUCAGAGUUCAACUAAUUUCAUGUAUUUUCAUUAUUAACAUAGUAUGAGUUGUUAUCGAUGAAGUGAGAAUAUUAUGUAGUGGAAUGAAUAAUUGAGCAGGUGCUUUAAGAUUCAAAGUCUCUAGAGAAUGAUCUUAACAGAACGUUCUGUUUUUAUGGCUUUGAAAAGAAAUGUAAAUUUGUAGAGCGAAGUGUGAAGGUUAGAAAUUAUGAAGACGAGAACAUAUUGUUAUUUUAUAUUCAUAAGUAAAUGAGAAUGCGUCUUCAAAUGAUAAAGAUCAGACAUUUUUAUAUGAAUUUGUGUAAAAUUGGAAGGGUGUUCGAAAGGCGUAGUUAAAAAAUAAAGCAAUAAACCUUGUUGUUAUUUCAUUUGCUCAUUUGCUUGAAAGGGUGACCCUUUAUCGUAGUAUAAUUCCUAUUGAUAAUUUUGAUAUUUAAUGGUAACCAUCUGUUGUUAUUUAUUUACUGGAUAAAUUUCGCUUGUGAGCCUCCCCUUUUGUUGUUGUUGUAAGGAAUUGAGUAUCAGUAAUUUAAGUUGACAACUAGUUAAGUUAGUAAGAAUGCCAAAAACUGUUAAAAGUACGCAAGUUUGAUACCAAUUACAGGGCAAAGACUAUGUAUCCAAACCAAUACUGCUAUUGUUCAGUGUGCUUAAAAUCAUGUUACUGCUCAACAAAAUAAUUGUAUUAAUUUGUUCUCGUGGGUUCUCUGUUUUUUGUUAUACUCAGAACGUAAUGCCACGAUUAUUUAUUAGUUUAAUUUUUUGGUAUGUAAUAUUAGCCUUUACUUGGUGGCAUUACUGUUGAUGAGUCAGUAGAAAGUAAAAAACGCAAGAUUAAGAAGGAAGUGAUGCUUUUAUAAUUAUGGUUUCCAUAUUUAUGAAUUUCAGACGUUUGAGUGUUUAAUGGAAAGGAUUAUGUGGUGGUAAUAGCCUCAUAUUCAUUGCUUAUGAACUCGAUGUCUUCUCAAUUGUAGACUACAUUAAAGAUAACUGAUAUAAGGAAUUUGAGUUUACCCAAAUGAUAAGGAUAAAGCCUCAAUAUGAUUCCCUUUUUCAACUUAUGUAUUUUAUGAGCAUUUCUUCCAUUCUUUAGAUUACAUAGAGGGUUUUUUUGCCUCUGCCCUUGUUGGCAUUCAUAUAUUUUGGGAAUUUAAUGUUGUAGUCAUUAGUCAGCAUGCUUCAAUUCUAGCUGACGUUAUUAACUUGAAGCACUUAGUUUAUAUUUUGAAUUUUGGUUUAUUUUAUCAUUUUCUUGGCAUAAUAGGAAAAUACAAUAAAAGGUAACAUUUUAGUCUUUGAAUGGUGAUGAAAGCAAAGGCUAUAGCUCUCCUCUAUUACUUACAUUAUCCAUCACCAUUUAUGUCACCUGUGAAUGAAAUAUGAAGAUCUUCUUCCAAAAAAUGCAGAAAUGUAGAAGGUGAGAAAUAAACUCUUAACAAUCAAGUUGUAUUUGAUCUUACCUUAUAUGUAAUGUGAUUAUCCUGCUUGCUAUGCAAUUUAAUGGAACUUUUUGUUUAUGUAAAUUGUAGAUGGGUCAAUGCAGCAGUUAGGACGCUUGUGGGUUGCUUCCCAGGAACCAGAGCAAGCUACUAUUAUUGCAAUGAGAAAAGAAAGUUGAACUUUGCUGAGAAAGAAGGCAGCGUGGGAAAUGAUGUUUUUACAUUAUGUGUGUAAAUCGUAGAACAUGUCUGUGUAUAUAAAAUUGUGUCAUGCAUGUUUAACCUGAUAAGCGUAUAAAAAGAAAGUUGAACCCACUUGAGAUAAAGCCCCAGAGUUGCAUUCCACCAGUGAUAUUUGAGUUUAUCGAGUUGCACCAUAUCUUAUACUUUUCCUGAAAACAAAUAUAUAUGUUAAAUCAGGUAGAACAAAUUAUUCACUAGUUGUGGGUGCAACUCAAGUUUUGAAACAUUUAAGAUUUUGAGCCAUUAUGUUGCUACCCCGUGACUUUUUAAGGUACUAAAAGACAGUUAAAACAACAGAAUAUUUUAAUUACUCAUACUAGCAUGUGAAAUUUAAAGAGGUCUUAGGGUUGAAGAAGAUAUGGUAGAGGUGAUGAAAAUUUUUGUGAGUUUUGAAUUCAAGGAACAAAAUAACAAGUCUAGUGUAUAAUAUUUGAAAACCCUGCUUCCUCAUGUGAAAUGGAUCGAAUUGCUGUAAGAUCUGUCCAAAAUAAAUUGUCUAAACUCAAUUACAGGCUUGUGGGAACAUAUAAAUUUUUUUUUUUCUAGCAACUCCAGACUCAUUUAGAAAUGGAAAUUUUUUUGUUAUUUGAUCAAACAGAAAUCUGUGAUUUUCAGGUUGAAGGAAGGACAACAAAGUCCAAAAUAUGGGAUACUGCAGGUCAGGAGCGAUACAGAGCAAUAACCAGUGCCUAUUAUAGGGGUGCACUCGGAGCUCUUUUAGUUUAUGAUGUGACAAAAUCAAUAACGCUUGAAAACGUGAGCCGGUGCCUGAAGGAUCUGAGGGACCAUUCAGACUCCAACAUCGUGAUCGUGAUGAUUGGCAACAAGACUGAUAUGAAACACCUCCAACUUCUAUGUUAAUUUUUCAGUCUCUCAAUGGUUUAUUGUUGAAACUUGUUUUUAUUUAAUUUUUGUUAACAAUGUUGUAUUUGAAUUAUUCUCCUCAUUUGUUGUUGAGACUUGAGAUAUCAGAAUUAUUUUGUUAUGGCAGUCAUGCAGUGUACAUUAGCCAUGUUACAGCUUACUCUGGUUUUUCAGAUUAUAAUCUAUUGCUUUAGUUGGAUCCUCUAUUACAAGGCAAUGAAGUUGGCUUUUACAUUUUGUUUUCUAAUUUGUAUUUAUUUUUUUACAAAAUGGGUAUUUUCCUUGUGCGUUUGCAGAGGUCUUGAACAAUUUAUGUUUUUGUGACAAUAACCAGUAUCUUUUAUUAUACAGAAGUCUCUCGCCAUUUUAGACAGUUCUUUUAGCAAGUUUUUUUUCUGAGGUUGCGUUAUUUCAUUUGUUUCCACAUAUGAAUAUUUUUUUAAAAAAAAGUGUUAACUUUCUAAAAACCCAUCAAAUGGAAAGAAAUUAUAUAAAUUGUAAUAUGUAGAUUGAAGGAUGCCGUGCUAUAAUGCGCAAUCCAGAAUUUGAAAUACUACAAAAGCACAUAAAUUUUGAUGUGUUAAUGAAAUGAAAUUAGCGGUACUUAAUUAGCAGCACUUACAUGAUAAGAUAUAUAAGAGACGAUUUAUAAUAAGUUUUCCUUUAAUUGGAUGUGAGGAAGGCCUUAUUUUAUUAAAAUGAUGACUAAAUUGAAAGAUAGAAAAUGAAUUUUAAUUUGUUAAAAGACAAUAAAUACAUUAUCUUAAAAUACGUGUUUUCAUACUUUUUUUGGAUUCGUUCUUAUAUUAAUAAAAUGACAACUUACGCAUUAGAAAAUUAUUCAAUUUGUAAUGAACCACAAUCGAUCACAAUUCACACAAAUUAAAGCAUUACAUUUGCAUAAUUUCAAUCAUAUUUGCAUAUAUUCAAUUAAUAUUAUUUACUGUGUUACUAGACAAAGAAAAAAGAAAAGAAAACAAAAAUUAUAUUUAUAAAAAAAAUUAUUAAUAACAGAAAAUAAAAUGGAUAUACAGUGCAAUUGAUGCACCAUAUUUAGUAAUUAGUAUUCACACCUGUUAAGUUUAAUACAUAAAUCAAGUAAAUUUGAUAUUCAAGAAGCCGCCGACUGAAUUUGGGACUUAAAAUUCCAAAAUGUUAGAAAAAAACGUGAUUUAAAAGUUGAAUAAACUUAAAGCAAAAUAAAUAAAUAAAAUAAAAUAAAACUUCUAACCCCACUAGAAUCUUGUGACCGUGUUUGACUAAAUUUCAUUUUCCAAGUAUUUUAUGGGGAUUUACCAAAAUCUAGCAUGCUCACAUUUUAUCGCUAAGUAACAUGCAUUAUUCCUUUAUCAAUGAGUUCAAGGAGUAUUGGGUUGCUCCUAUACGAGAGUUAAAACAUGCUAAACAUAUUGUAAUUGGCAAGGUUAGGCCUAGGCUAGCACCAAGAGGCUACUAAAUAUUAGCAUGCAAUUAUAUGCAUGCCCAUGAUUCUUAUUUUAACCAUUUAAAAGACUAUUUUGUACUGAUUAAUUUGUUACAACAUUUCUUUUAUUCCACUUAUUUGCUUACUACAAACUUAAUAGUUAUAGUUUUUUGCAAUUUCGCCGUAUAUUCAUGCAGCAUAUACGUACCCCAUCAUUUUUGCAAAUAUUCUUCAUCCAUCCUUUGACCAACAUCUUGCUAAUCAUUCAAACGUUAAGACAAUAAUCUUGCCACAGUAACUAAUGAUCUAUGUUGAAAUAAAUAAUACUUCUACAACAUUAAAAUACUUUUAAUAACGGGAAAUAAAAUAUAUAUACGACGCAAUUGAUGCACCCUAUUCAGUAUUCACACCCGUUAUGUUUAAGACAUAAAUGAGUAAAUUUGAGACAUAAAUUCAAUCACGUCCUUUUUUCUUUACUUUUACAAUUAUACUUUUACAACAAUAUUUUUGAGAAUAUUAAUUAAAAAAUCAACAGUAAAAUAAAAAUAAGCGUAAAUUUUUUUGUUACUAUUUUACUUGUAGAAUUAAUUUGGUAAAUUAAUUUUUUUACAAAUAAUUAUUAAUAAGGUUAUUACAUAGUUAUCGAAUCUGAAUUAGUCGGGAUCCAAUAUAGUCUUCGAAUACACCAAAAAAAAAAAAAUUCCACACAAUCACUCAACACAAGAUAUUUACACCAGAAUGUUUUGACUUUCAUUGACCAGAGCUGAAGUUGAUCGAAUUAGGGAGUUAGAGAGUUUCGAAUAUUGACUCAUUAUAUUGUACAUGACUUUCAUUGACCAGAGCUGAACCUGAUCGAAUUAGUGAGUCAAAGAGUUUCGAAUAUUGACUCAUUAUAUUGUAAAGUUCGUAAACAUGUCUAUUGGUCUGGGUCUUUUUCUCUUAUAUAGGAAUCUUUCCUUUUGAUUGAUAAAAUGAAUUCGAUGGUUUUGCAGCGAUGACAAUUUCAUUUCCUCAAUUUGAUACCCAAAAGUUUUUGGAUAUCUCAUCCUGACCUUGGUCACUGUUAUGGUGCGAACAUGCAAGCAUAACUAAGCCUUUGAUGGAAACUCAUGCGCAGGCCUAGCGUAGGAGUGUAGCGUAGGUAAGGUAAGGAAAGUGGCCGCCAGAGAGGAAGCUUUAGCUGAUUAAGCGCAGCUAAGCUAAUAUGUGCCGGAGAAAGCCAGGUGCCGGAGGUAAGCUUUAUUCGGCCCGGAGCAUUGAUUCCCCAUAACGAAUAGGCUAGUUCUAUCUCUCAAUUGCCUAUCCCCUCAUCGUGCAUCUGGCAACACAGAUCUCGCAAGCAUAGCGGAACCCAAGCUCAUGCUCACGAUAGCACAACGUGGCCUACGGUGGCACCACGAUGUCCCCCGAGUCAUAGACAAGCUCCGCAUAUCGACAGCCCGUACAGGAUAGCGGAUGCACGUCUAAGCCUCUAUGGCACGAAUGAUGCGCAAUGCCGGGCCCGAAACGCCAUGUAGGCUGUUAAGGUAGCCGAUAACCCCAUGGACAUUAUGUAUCCUACUAUAUUCCAGUCACUUAGCAUUUGUUCCUAUUCUUAAAUUAUGACCCAAAGAAGAAAAAGAAUCGAAUAAUCGUUCUAUGAUGAAAAUAGAAUAACCCUCUUGUGUUUUGUGCAUAGCGGGUAUACGCUUAUACACUAGAAAAUCAAAUCUAAAAAUCCCUGGGAUGAUUUAUGAAUUUGUAAUAGAUUUACGGGUUAAGGGGUUGUUGUUGAGCGAUCUAAAACUGGAAAGGAAUUUUAGAAUUCGUAUAGAAAUGGAAUUUUUUUUUAAUAAUUAUGAUCUAAAGGUAUCCGACAAGUCUUUCUUGAUUUUUAGAGCAAGAAGCGGAACUACAAGAAAGCUUUCUUUACCAUUAUGAGUAUUAAUCUUUUUGGUCCUUCUGCUAAUCAUCCUUUUCCUUCUACUUCUACUUUUACGGAAAUAUGUAACAAAAUUUCAAAAUUACUCUGUGAGAGUAAUAGAGAAUUGCCACCCCAAUGGCCUAUCAAAGACUUUACGGAGAGGGUUAUUGGGGGACAAGAGGGAGUUGUGUGUUUCUCUAGUGGCCAUAAUCAUCCACUACAUUUUAUUUGCUGCCGAUAACAUGCCUCGAAACUAUCAAGUAAUUUUUCGCAGUUAUAGGGCCUCAUUUCUAUUGUCUUUGGAUUUCUUUCAACAGUAUCGUUGGUCUCCGCAUUUUUCACACAGUCAGUUGCUGAAAUCAUUUGUUAUGUUGCAUUGAGUUGUAUUGCCAUUAUGAUAAUUGUGUACCAAUAUGGCAUAAAGCUUAUGAAUGCUUGUCAUUGGCUUUACCACGAAAUUUUGAGGCCAUUUUUCAGCAAGAUCUUGAAUUGGUUUCAAGUUCAUUGUUACAACUUCUUUUCGACAGAACAGCAGCAACGCCCGACAAUGUAAUUGAAGAAGUUUAAUCUUUAUUUUAAAAUUUCAUCCAAGAUAUUUUACAGAGAGAUUCCACUUAUGUUUUCAUAUUUCAGUAGAUCAAAAUAUAUAUUCAAUAAUAUACAAUUUGUUUGAUAAAUUUUUAAGAUAGUUAAAUGCGUUGAAUUAAAUUCUAAUAGUAAAUAUGAUCGUGUAUGUCUCAUUUAAAAAAAAAUAUUUUUAGUAUGCCAAUAAGAUUUGAACAUGUCUUACUGUCAUUUGAUUUGUUCCUUAAUUUCACAUUUGUAUUAACUAGCUAUUUUUGCAAUUUUUGAUUAACCACUUAACUAAUUUUGGAAUUUAUUUUUAUUAAAUUUAGAGAUAUUUUAUCAUUAUAUUUUUUUAUUUUUUAAAAUUUUUAUAAAAUAAAAUGGUCUUUUAAUUUAUUUGGGGGUAAAAUUAUCAUUUUAUUAAAAUUAUUUAAUAGUAUUAAUGCAAAAGUGGCUAGUUGAUACAAAUGUGAAAAGAAAUGUGGUGCAAAGUACAUGUUAGAAUUUUGUAGUGGUUGGAUGGAUAAAAAUUAAAAUAAAGAUGGUGCAAUGAUAAUUUCCCUCAACAAUUUACAGGCUUGUGGGAACAAAGAAAUUUUUUUUUCUAACAAGUCAUUUAAAAAUGGAAAUAUUGUCCUAAAGCAGCUUUUUUGUUGUGUGAUUCUCAGGUCGAAGGAAGGACAAUAAAGGCCCAGAUAUGGGACACUGCAGGUCAGGAGCGAUACAGAGCAGUAACAGCUGCCUAUUAUAUGGGUGCACUCAGAGUGCUCUUUUAGUUUAUGAUGUGACAAAAUCAACAACAUUUGAAAACGUGAGCCGGUGGCACAAGGAUCUGAGGGACCAUGCAGACUCCAGAAUUGUAAUCAUGAUGAUCAGCAACAAGUCUGAUCUGAAACACCUCCCAACUUCUAUGUCAAUUUUUCAGUCUCUCGAUGGCUUAUUGUUUGUUCAACAAGUCUGAUCUUGAACAAUUUAUGUUUUUGUAACAGUAACCAUUAUCUUUUAUUAUAAAAAUGUCUCUCUUUUUUAUAUUUUAUCUUAUAUAUAUAUAUACUGUUUGCACAGUUCUUUCAGCAAUUUUUUUCUGUGGUUGCACUAUUUCAUUUGUUUCCGCAAAUGAUUUUUUUUUUUAAAAGAAAAAGAAUUAAUUUGUUAACUUGCUAAGAGCCCAUCAAAUUAAAAGAAAUUAUGUUCAUUGUAAUAUUGAUAAGGGUAUGUAGAAUGAUUAUUGGAUGCCAUGCUACAGUGCACAAUUUAAAAAUUGAAAUAUUACAAAAGUGCAUAAAUUUUAUUGUGUGAACAAAAUGAAAUUAGCUGUACUUACAUGAUAAUAGAUACAUAAGAUAUAAUAAGUCUCCUUCAAAUUAGGUGUGAGGAAGACCUUAUUUUAUUAAAAUGAUGACUAAUUAAAAGAUAAAAAAUGAAUUUUAAUUUAUUAAAAUAUGUGUUUCAAUUUUUUUUAAGAUUUGUUCUUAUAUUAACAAAAUGACAACUUCCUCAUUAGAAAAUAAUUCAAUUGAUCACAGUUCCCACCAGUUAAACCGUUGCAUUUGCAUAAUUUCAAUAUAUUUGCAUUAACUCAAUCAAUAUUAUUUACUGUCUUACUAGAUAAACAAAAAAGAAAACAAAACAAAAAUUUUAUUUACCAAAAAAAAAGUUAUCAAUUACAGAAAAUAAAAUGGAUAUGAUGCAAUUGAUGCACCAUUCUCAAUAUUCAUACCGGUUAAGUUUAAUACAUAAAUCAAGUAAAUUUCCUUACAAAACCAACGGUCUUUCCCCCCCUUUUUUUUUAUGCCACCAAUGGAUGAUAUCCAUUUUAGUCGGUUAACUUUAACUUCUAAGUUGGGUCUAUUGCAUACUCGUACUAGUAAGUACUCUAGGCAAGGGGGUUCAUUGCCUAACCCACUAAGAUUUUGUUGUAUGGAAAAAAUUUAUAAUAUAACAUAAGUAAUAUAACUAAUUAAUAUAUGUAUGAUACAUAUAUUUAAAUUUAAUAUAACUAUCACUUAUAUAAUAUAUUUUUUAAAUAAAUACACAUAUAUCAAGACUGACCAAUUAAAAUCCGAAUCAAGACUGUGACUCUAAAUAGGUUGGAAGUAUUGUAGCUUUAGCUAAUCCUGGAGUGAUGUGUUUACACUAAUUCCGGCUUACCUCCUGAAUCUCUAUAUAUACGGCCCUAUCCUAAAGCUUGUUCAUCACUUGCUUUCUGUUUUCUCAGUUCAUUUGCUUCCAUUUGCUUCAUCUUCCUCUUCCACUUGCAUGCUUCUUAAUCCAAUGCAGUGUAUAUAGAAUUAGUAGCAAGUAAAUUAAUUAAUCAGUAGCAAGCAACUCUUUUAAAAGUCAUGCUACCUCUUAUGAACAGAAAGAGAAAGCAAAGAAAUGGAAGUGCGCAGGUUUAAUGUUAAUGGUGGGUACCGAGUUGAGAGAAUCACAACAACUGAUUCUCAUCAAUUCCCACUGGAGAGGCGUACCUAAUCUUUCUACAAGUCAAAAUUUUUUUCUGACUAGCUAUCUUAUCAGGCUGCACAGUACUCAUUUCUACAAGUCAAAAUAAUCAUAGAGCUACAAAUUAAUAAUGUUGUACAAUUAGAUAUGGUGAGAUAUAAUUAAUUGAUUAAAGUAAUAAAAAUAAAAAUAAAUUAUGCUGGUCCUAAUAUAACCAAUUUGAUGAUAUGCCACAUUAGUUUAUAUAUAUAUAUUUUUUUAUGUAAAAGUGUUUAUAAUUAUAUAACUACUCGUAAAAUUAAAGCAGCUGAUGAAAAGGUUUGCUCAAUCCUCAUAAUAUAUGAUCAUGUUGAGGACCAAAUAAUAAUUUGACACUUUUAAACGAUUAAUUAGCAAUUAGUCAUCCAAGUUCAUGUUUUGUAACUAAAUACACAAUUACACAUAGUUGCAGAACAUGGAAUUAAUAUAGUGCUAUUAUAACAUUGGUAUAAGUGUUGUACUUGGUGUGAACAAUUAUGUAUAGAUCUCACUAUCUUAUAUGCAUGUAAGAUAUAUUCUCCUUAUAUGAACAGUGUAUGAAUCACACAUAUGUAUUGUUCAUACGAGUAGAAUGUAUGUAAGAUAUAGAUUGUCUUAUGUAUAAAUGUAACUUGAGUCAGCGUACAAAUAUCAAUAGUCAAUCAAUAUCAAUAGCCACGUUCUCGUUCUCCCUUUUUGUACCAACGGCCGCCACAAGCCAAGAGAUAAUGAUCUGGCCCCCGACCCGAAUGUUAUGUCCUUGUUUUCUCCACACAACUUCGUACACUAUUUAACAGAAAAAGACAUAAAUUCACUAAAAAUAUUUUAAAGUUUAUAGAAAGGUAAUAUUUUAAAAUUCACUAAAAAUAUCAUAAUCCCAUUUCAUCAAAUGUUCUCGCAAUUGCAACCUCCAGUUUUUGAACUUGCCGAGAAUAAAUUCUAUACUGUCCAUAAAUAAAUGUUUGUCUCUUCUGUCAUCAUUUGAUCCUUCGAGUUUUUCAAUAUUAAUUUUAAAUAGCAAAAGAAUCUCUUUUGUUUGUUAUGGGAGUGUGACUUGUCGGGCCCAACAAACCGUUUUUUUCCCUCAAACGCAGGACAGGUGUGGUGCAUGCAUUAGGUGCGUAUGUUACAGAAUCUGUAAGGUAGACAGGUCCUUCUAUUUAUUAAAUAAAUUAACUCUGGGACCCUUUUUAUCUCAUAUUAAAGUCAUAAACAAUCACCUUAAAUUUAAAGACAGUACCCCAACAUAUUAAAUAAAUUUUAAAUUUAAUAAUUUACAUAAUAAUAUUAAAUAAAAUUCAAUUAUAAUUUAACAAUCAACAAUUUACAUCAAUUCAACAUAAAUAACAUACAACAACACUAUAAAUUCACAAACAAUAAUUUCAUAAUAUAAAUCAAAUAUAAAAAAAUAAAAAAAUAAAGGUAAACUAAUUUAUUACAAUAUUCUCUAAUUAUUAUUAUUAUUUUUUUAGCAUAUUUUCAUAGUUAAUGAAAUUAUAGAGUUAAUUAUGCUUAUACAUUUAAAUAAAUAAUUUAAUUUAUAUAAUUUUCAAUUGAAAUUGAAAUUUAAUUAAAUAAAUAAUUAAAUUAUAAAAUAAUGCGGAUCCGGAUAUCCAGUUAUUCGGAUCCGCACGAAUUUUGAUUUUUAAGAUUUUGAUCCAUAUUUUUUAACAUGCAGAUCCAGAAUUUAUUGCCAACCCUAACACUAUUUCAUUUCUGGAAACAGGCUUUUAUUUAUUUAUUUUUUAGAAAAAGAAGAAUAAAAAGAAAUACUAUGUCAACUUACUUGGCUCCAAGUAUAAUAUUAAUAAAGAAAUAUAUAUUGAUGAUUUGAUGCCACGUUACAAUGCCCAAUUUAGAGAAAAUUGUUACGAAUAAUUAUUGGAAAAUGAAAUGAAACAAAAAAUUGUUACCUGAUGAAGCACCAUCACAUCCUUAAGCUUUAAGACAAUAAAAGUCGCGUAAAUCGGGGGACCCGCAAAGUCGUCGUGUAAGUUUGCUUUACGUGAUUUGAAGUUAUACAUAAUUGAUAAUUUCAAAAUAAAUGAAAAAGAAUAAUUGAAAAAUCAAAAUGCACUUCUAUCUUGCCACCACUCGGCACUCACCCUCUCGACUAAAUGUCAUUUUCUUUGAACUUUCAUGGCUUCUAAGCUCCCAUCAAGAAUUAGAAAUUCACAAAUCCAACCUUUAUUAUCUCAGCGAUACAUCCCGAUUCCAAACUUUACCUCAUAAGCGAUUAUUGGUAACAAGCACCAUUUUUGUCAAUUGCAUAUAUAUAUUUGGCUGAACGGUCAAUUCUAUUUUACGUCUGACGUAGCAAGCACGUCCCAUUCCCCACACACCAUUAUCUUGCCACCACUCACCCUCUCGACUAAAUGUGAUUUUCUUUGAACUUUCAUGGCUUCUAAGCUCCCAUCAAGAAUUAGAAAUUCAUAAAUCCAUCCUUUAUUAUCUCAGCAAUACAACCUUUAUAAGCCGUGGGGUCAAUUGCAUAUAUAUAUAUAUAUAUAUAUAUAUGGCUGAACGGUCAAUUCCAUUUUACUUCUGACGUAACAAGCACGUCCCAUUCCCACACACCACUACUUUUUCACAAGUUUACAUUCAUUUGGCUUUUGAGUCCAGUGGUGCUAAUUUUUGAAGAUACUCUUACUGAACUGAGUGACCAAUUUCUUUUAUGCUAAAUGUAUCCUGUGAUGCAGAAGAAGAAGAAGAGUUGCAUUCCGAAGUCAAUAUGAUGCAAAUAAGCUGCCCUCGCCAUCAUCACCUUCAACCCGCAGCACUUUAAUCCUUCAAGGUAGGGGUGUUCGCGGAUCGGAUUUUACGGAUUGGACAUCAAUCCAUAUCCGAUCCAUGAUUUUGCGGAUUAUAAUUUUUCAAUCCAAUCCAAUCCACGGAUUGAUAAAAUUCAAUCCAAAUCCAAUCAAUACAUCUGCGGAUCGGAUGCGGAUUUGACUCAAUUCGUAUGCAAUCCACCAUUUUACGCAUUAGUUUUCGAAUUAAAAAUUUUUAGUUCUCUCCAACUAAUGAAAUAAAAAAAUCUAAUAUAAAAAUAAUUUUACUACCAAUUAAAUUUAAAAUUGAAUAAAAUUUAAAUAAAUUAACUGUUUAAAUAAAGCUAAAAUAAUACAUUUAAAGUUUCAAAAUAUAACACAUCGAGAUUAAGUAUUCAAAUAAAACUACAAUAAUACGUUCAAAGUUUCAAAAUAUAACACACCAAGCUUAAUUGUUCAAAUAAAAUUACAAUAAUACGUUAAUAUAACACCGAAAUUAAUUGUUCAAAUAAAGCCACAAUUAAUUGAAAUGACGAAGUUUCGGAAACCAAACACUGUCUGAUCCUUCACCAGGGUUGUUACUAGGGUUGUUGCGCCUGUCGAAAAGUGAUGAUUACAGAGCCAUCCACGAUGGGAACCAGGAGAAGUCAUACGGGUGGCGAUCUUGAAGGUUGUGAUAGUGAAAUUGUUCAACUGAAACUAAUGAAUGUGAAGUGGCUUGAUGGACUUGGGAAAGAAGAUGGCUUGCUCUUGCCGAAAUCGCACGGCCGAUGUCCUUUAAAUCCGUGUCGAGAGUGUAUCCAACCAGUAUUGAGUGUUGCUAGUGUGUGUGACGGCAGGGAAGCUCAGGGUUUUUUGUUUGCAAAUUGUUGGUGACUUUGCGUUAUGUUACUUUGCUUUUACUAGUGCGUGUGACUUUAUUUUUAUUUUGUUUUAAAAUUUUUACAAGUUAUACUUGUAUAUUUGAUUAUUUAAUUAUUUUUCAUUUUAUAUUAUUAUUGGGUAAUGGCUAAGAUAUGUUAUAAUGCUUAGUAACUAUGCAAUGUCACAUUUAUAAUUUUUUAAUUAUAUAUAUAUAUAAUUUUUUUUUUGCGGAUUCACGGAUUUCUACGGAUUUACAGAAGUAAAUCCAUAUCCAAUCCAUCGACUAUGGAUUUUUAAAUUUUCAAUCCAUAUCCAAUCCACCAAUCCACGAAUCGGAUUUAUACGGAUCAGAUUCAGUCGAUCAGACAUAUUGGAUUCUGAACACCCCUACUUCAAGGCAUAUGCCUACACUUUUCUUACAUUUUUAGUCAUUAUGAGCUAAAUUUUCAGCACAUACAUAAUGUUAUUUCUUUAUAUCAAUAUAUCGAUGUGUCUAAGUUUAAUUAAACUCAAAUUUUAAACUUUUGAAAGUAGAGAUUAAUUGAAAAGUUUUUUUAAAAUAUUAAAUUUUUUAAAAUAUUCACCACUUUUUUAACAAUCUUAUUUUAUUCCUUUCAUAGCAUAACUUUAAAAAAAAUUAAUUAUUAAAAUAAUUUUAUAGUUUUUAAUAAAAACUCUCAUUAACAAUCAAACAACUAUUAUUAUUUUUUUGUGUGAAAACUUUACCAAAAAAAAAAACUCUACUCAAAUAAGCUCUAUUUGAAAAGUUUUACUGAAUGGAGUCUCAAUAAAGAAAAAAUAACUCAUUUAAUCUUUAAAAGUUCUUUUAAAAAACAAUAAAAAUUUUGAAAAAAAUUUAUGAAAUUAAAUAAGUAUUUAUGAUAAUUAAAUAACUCAUACCAAAUAGGCACAUAAUUAUAAAAUGAUAUACUUUAAUAUUUUUCAUAGUGAUUUGAUAUUUUGUAAUUCUAGUAAUAGUUAGGUGAUAAUAGCUCCUUUUAGAAUUAUAAAAUCAUAUGUUAGCUUUAAUAACAAAUUAGAAUUGACAACAUUGUUGUAAUGUAAAAAACAUUAUUAAAUUUAGUUUCACUAAAAGAAAAUAUCGUAACACACUUGUGAACAGACCGUUUGUAUGCUUAAUUUAAAGAUUCGAAUUAGUUGAGUUAAUUAACCGUUUGUAGACUUUGAGUUAAUAAACCUGAGUUAAUUGAUAAGAGAUGUGAUUUCUAUCCACCCUCCCAUUGCGUUGAGUCAUCCCGGCCCCACUGCAAUGCCUUUGGCCUUUUGCCUUUUGCCUCCCUCCCAAUGCCUUGUUCACUUCAUUUUCAUGAUGCCUAUAAGAACUGCGAGUUAGGCACAUACUCCUGAGCAGGUCGGUUUUGUGCAGAAGAAGAAGAGUUGCAUUCCGAGAUCAAUAUGAUGCAUAUAAGCUGCCCCUGCCAUCCUCGACAGAACUUUGAUCCUUCAAGGUUCCCAAGUACACUUUUCUUACAUUUUUAGUUGUUAUGAACUCAAUUUUCAAUGCAUACUGUUCUUUCUUUCGUUCAUAUGAAGCUUAAUUAGUUUUGUCAACUCUUUUGGCAUUUCUUACUUGACUAUAAACUUAGUUAAGAGCACCCUGUGAUCUGGAGAGUAAGGGCUAGAACUUGAUGGCGCCAUGUUAGACUAGUGUAUGAGGCUUGUUCAUGCAGUAAUAAUUGGUCUUGAUGCAGGCAAUUUUUUUUUUUUUUUUAAGCUAAAGAAAGUUAAGUUUUAGAAGAUCAUUACUUCUUUAAACCCAGUAAGCGUAUAAGUUUCUCUUCUUUUGGGUUUUGUAGAAUUAUUCAUUUUCUCCUUAAUUCCCUUUAUCAUGCUCUACCAUAACUGAGAAACAUGGCAGCAGCGGCGGGUCUACAGGUGGGCUACAACGGGCUGUAGCCCGUUCUUGAUUAGGAAAAAAUUAUUUAUAUCCCUUAUAUUUUCAUCAAUUUUAUAUAAUAAUAUAAUUUUUAUUUUCUUUCGUGUAUGUCCCUAACUCAAUUAGCCUUAUAUUUUCAUCAAUUUUAUAUUAUAGUAGAACUUUUAUUUUAUUUUCAAAUAUGUCCUUAAUCCAAUUAUAUUUUUUCCAUUUGAAAUUAGUUACUUAUUUAUAAAAUGAUUAAAUUGUACAUUUAUUGAAUAUAUUGAAAACAUUAGGGGGCCAAAUGUUGCUACUGCUUUAUUUUAAAAUAUUCUAAUUGAAAAAAAAUAUGUCAAUCUAAUAUAAAAUUUUCACUAAUAUUAUAAGUACUUACAAAAACAACAUGUAAUAGCAAUUAUCAACAUUUUCAAAACUUUUUAUGUGAAUUUUGAGAUUUCAUUUAAUAGGAAGUUAGAAAAUAAAAUUUGAGUAUUUUGAGAAGUUUUUCAUAAAAGAAUCAUCAGCAUAUGAUUCUUCAAAGAGAGUCAGAGCACUUACCAAAGAAACAACGGCAUUUAAAUACAUUUUUAUUAAAUGAGUUUAGUUUAUUAUUGAAAUUUUUGACUAACAAUAUAUUUAUAAUUUUAAAAGAUGAAUACAUUUUUUAGUUGUUUAAUUUAUUUAAGCCUACUAAUUAAGUACUUGACUUCAAACAUUAAAGUUUUACUUGCGAGUUUUAGUUGUUGUAAUUACAUGCAUUGCUUUAAUUUUAGCUUAAAAUUCUUAAUUGAUUUAUUAAUCGUUAUAUAAUUAUAUUUUAUUGAAGGUUGCAAUGUCGGAUUCCAUAAUUGAAAAUUUGGGUUUUCAUAUUUGAAUUACCUUUUGUUUUCUACUCUUUUUUUAUAAGUAUUUUCAUUUCGAGUACGUAUUUAUAAGAAUAAGGUUCUUCAUGUCCCUCUUAUUUGAUGCACUUCUUCCUACUUAUGAAUUUUUAUAAUCACUUCAAAAUAUUAUUUUUUUAAUUUAACCCAGGAUAAUAUAAAUUCUUGGGUCUGCCCUGCAUGGCAGAGCAUGAUGAAUAUUAUUAUUUAAUAAUAAUAAUCAUACCAACAGAAAGAAUGAUUCAUAGAUGAUCAAUCAACAUUACUUAAUCAAGAAAUAACACAAGAACAUCAAGAUUGAGUCAAAGAGACAAGAUUAAACACGGCAAAAAUGAUCAAUUACAAAAAAGCUCACACAACAGGACACAACAUAAACAGGAAAAUUAAUUGACCUCACUCUUCUUAAAAUGAGUGUAUCUUAAAAAAAAAAAUGGAAUUACAUAUCUUCUAAACAAAAAAUCCUGCAGUUACUCAACAUAUCAAAUUAGAGUCCACACAAUCACUCAAUGCAAAUUAUUUACACCACAAUGUUUUGACUUUUAUUUACGUAAGUUAUUUCAGAGCUGAACUUGAUCAAAUUAGGAGUUAGAGAGUUUCGAAUAUUGACUCAUUAUAUUGUAAAGUUCGUAAAUAUGUCUAUUGGGCUGGGUGUUUUUCUCAUAUAUAGGAAGCUUUCCUUUUGAUUGUUAAAAUUAAUUCGAUGGUUUUGCAGCGAUAACAAUUUCAUUUCCUCAAUUCCAUACCCACAAGUUUUUGGAUAUCUCAUCCCGACUUUAGCCACUAUUAUGGGUGCAUAUGUACAAGGCACAACUAAGUCAUUGAUGGAAACUCAUAGAGUAAGCUUGUGUGUUUCUCUGGUGGCCAUAAUCGUCCACUACAUUGCGUUUGCUGCCGAUAAGAUGCCUCGACGCCAUCAAGCAAACUUUUCACAAUUAUGGGGCCUCAUCGCCAUUGUCUUUGGAUCUCUUUCAGCAGUGUCGUUGAUCUCCACAUUUUUCACGCAGUCAGUUGCUGAAAUCAUUUGCUACGUUGCAUUGAGUUGCACUGCUAUUAUCAUAGUUGUGUACCAAUAUGUCAGAAAGCUUAUGGAUGCUUGUCAUUGGCUUUACCACGAAAUUUUGAGGCCAUUUUUCAGCAAGAUCUUGAAUUGGUUUCAAACUCAUUGUUACAACUUCUCUUCGACAGAACAGCCGCAACGCCCCACAGUGUAAUUGAAGAAGUUUAAUAUUUAUUUUAAAAUUUCAUCCAAGAUACUUUACAGAGAGAUUCCACUUAUGUUUCCAAAUUUCAAUAGAUCAAAAUAUAUACUCAAUAAUAUAUAGUUUUUCAUUCAAUAAUUUACAAUUUAUUUGAUAAUUUUUUAAGAUAGUUAAAUACAUUGAAUUAAAUUCUAAGAGUAAAUAUGUCUGUUGUAUAUCUCAUGUAAAAAAAAUAUAUUCUUAGUUUGCCAAUAAAAUUGGAACAGGUCUCACUGUAUUUGUUCCCUAAUUUCAUGAAUUUUAGCUCUCACUCUCAUUCAAUGGAUCAAAAUAUACACUCAAUAAUAUAUGGUUUGUCAUUCACUAAUAUAUAGUUUUUGAUAGUGCAUUCGUAUUAGAUUUUUAUAUGCACUGUUUUAUUGUUAUUAUAAAAUAUAAGUAUCUGUAUUGUUUGUGUUUUUUUGACGAAUUAGAGACUUGAUAUCAACUGUAAAGGGAGAGUAGUAGAUUAUUUGGGUGACAAGAAAAGUCCACAUAUUUAUUGUUUGUGUUUGGGGUAGGGAUGGCAAUGGGGCAGAUAUGGGUUGGAUCUACUCUGCUCCAGAUCCAAAUCCAUAAUAAAAAUUAAGAUUCGUAUCUGCUCCAGAUCCGUUAUGAAUCCAUAUUUUUCGCUCCAUAUCCAGAUCCAAAAAAGAAAUAAAUAUCUAUAUCUGCUCCAAAUCCGAAAAAAAAUUAAAAUCCAAAUCUGCUCUAGAUCCGUCAUGAAUUCUAAAAUUCCGUAAUAAAAAAGUAAUAAUUUUUUAGAUUGAAAAUUGAAGGCUAAAAUGUAUUGAUAACAAAUAAAUUAUAUAAUUUUUCUCAAAAAUAUAAUAAAAUAUUGUAGCUUAUACUUCUACACCAAAACAAUAAAUAAGAAAGAUAAUAAAAUAUCAUUCAGAAGUAAUUGCAGGAGUAAGAUCAAUCUAAUAUUUUAUUGUCUCAUUCAUCAUUCUAGUAUCCACGAUACACCUACCCUCAUUCCUACAACAUUAGAUAAUGACAUAUAAAUUAAAUAUGAUUUAUAUUAAGUCCUUUAUUAUUUUUAUUAUGACCAUAUUUGACUAAAUAUAUGAAUAACUAUAUUUCUUAAAAAUUAUUUGGCCAAUAUGAUAAAAUAAAUUACCAGGUUAUAUUACUUGGAUUGCAUUUUGAAUAUUGCAUGUACAUGCUUUGAGGCUGACUGACCUUUAAAUUUACAAAACUAACCUUUAAGUUUUAAGAGUUUAAAUUCAUGGUAAAUACUACUAAUAUGCUAUGAAUAAAAUUUAUUAUCAUUAUCAUUCCACAAUUAUUAAGAAACUUUUAAAAUAAAAUAAAAUUAAAAGAUGAGUGGAUAUGGAUAUGGAUUUAGAUAUUAAGAUAGAUCCAUAUCUGCUCCAGAUCCGUCUUAGAUCCGCACAUUGAUAUCCAAAUCCGAUCCAAAUCCAUUUUAAACCGAUCCAAAUCCGAUCCGAUUGGAUUUGGAUCACAUGGAUCUUGGAUCAAAUCCAAUCCAUUGCCAUCCCUAGUUUGGGGUAAGGGCUUCGUUUCUACCCUGAACAUUGGCUCUAAGGAUAUCCAUGAAUGACAUUUAAAAUAAAAUAAAAAAGAAUUAAAAAUAAGAAAUAUGUGUUUUGAUGUGAAUAAAAAAUUAAUAACAUAUUUUUCUUGUAUCGUUGUUAUUUUAUAAAUUUUUUUAUUAUAAAUUUAUGAAAUAAUAAAAGAAUACAAGAAAAAUGUGUUAUUAAUUUUUUAUUCACAUCAAAAAAUAUUUUUAUUUUUAAUACUAUAAUUUUUAUUUUUAUUUAUAUAAUUUAUAAAUAAAUAUAUAUUAAAAAUAUUGUUAGGAGUUAUUAACUAUUAUAAAAGUAAUAAGAAGUAAGUAAAUACAAUCUUUCAAAAAAAAAAUUUAACAUUUACUAUUUGAUAAUUUUUCAGGAUAGUUAAAUUCAUUGACUUAAACUCAUAAAUUCUGCUAGUCACUAUAUCCACCGCAAUCUCAUUUUAAAAGAAAAAAAAGUUUAAUUACCAAUAAAAUUGGAAAAUGUGUCAUGCCGUUAUUAAUGUCGAAAACUUUUGACUAUAUUAACGUACUUAACUAAUUAUACAUCUAAAUGUGAAGAAAGAAAUUAGCAAAGAAUAAAAUUUAAAAUUUCCUAGUACUUGAAAUUCGGGAAAAAAAAAAAAAAGGCCAAAUUUCAGUAGCUCUCGGCCCCGCACUUUCGGGGUAAAAAAAAAAAAACCCCAAAACACAUCAGCUUUCUCUCUCACUAUCAUUCGAAGAAGCAUCGUCACAAUCAUUUGAAAUUCUAUAAUCUCAGUUUCAAUGAAGACGAAGAGGCUUGGUUUAAAUAUCGGCUUUCAUCAUGCAUUUUCAGGUUUAAUUUCAGUUAAUCUGACCAAAUUUGAUGGAUUUGUUCCCUAAUUUCAUGAAUGUCAGCUAUCACUUUCAUUCGAUCGAAGAAGCUUUCACUUUCGUUUGAAAUUUUUUAUCUCGAUCGGUUUCACUGCAAAGGAAGAGGUUUGGUUUUAAUCUCGCUUUUAUUCAAGAAUUUCAUGUUUGUAUGUGUUUAAUCGCACCAAAGUUGAUGUGUUUCUCCUCUAAUUUAUGGUUAGGGAUCUAAUUUAUGCCUCUUGAUGUAAAAAAUUUAGAUUUGGGCUUUGAUUAUUUGAUUAAUAAUUUUGUAGCGUUUGGAUACUGUUGAACAGAGUGAAUUAAUCCACAUCAAGUAUGUAUUGGAACUAUUAGGCUGAAACCAGAUGGCUUCUGUUUACUAAGCAAUACAAGAAUUGAGUUAUAAUUAGGUCUGUUUACUAACUUAUCUGUACUAUCAUCUUUUUUAAUUCAUUCUUUAAGCUAAAUUAGGGUAUUAGAAACAGAGCUGGGAAAGAAAUUAGUACCUGCAUUCAUUUUAGUGGAUCUUGGACCAGCUUGUUCAUUCAUCUACAACUAUUAGAGUUGCACAACUCCGUUCAUAUGCCCCCAGUGUUGGCCACAGCUGUCUUGUGUGCAUGUAAUUUAGAGAAUAAAUAAAUUUAAGUGUAGACUAAUAUUUCUUUUCUUUUAUGAUAUGUCCAAUGAACCACAUUUUUCAAUUAUACUUUUUUUUCCUCCCCUCAAAAAUACAUAUCCUUCCUAGUACUUUUCCAAUGGAUCUCAUUUGUUUUCUCCCUAAUACAUUUUUUGCAGUUAGAGGUGCCUCAAAAGCAAUUACUCAAGGAGAGAUGUGCUUUGGCAUGGAUUAUGUUGGAUAUUUAGUCUUUUUCUUAUGGAACUAAUGACACAUCUAUUUUAUUACAAUGCCUUUCCAAUUGGAUGAGUUUAUCAGAAAGGAUAGGCUUCAUGUUGGGACGUCUUUUGAUCUCCAUUUUUUGUCUAGUAACUAAUUUGUUCAAUAUUUACUUGUGGCAUGUGGGGACUGUCAUCUCCUUUGGAUGUACUCAUCAUUGUAUAUGGUGUAAAUGGUGACCUUCAUUACCUUAAUUUUUUUAUAUGUGGAUUCGAGGCUUCUUACGUGCUUAUGUGAAUCUUUUUUUAGCACGAUCAUUUCAUAAAUGUUACUCUAUGGCUUCCAGAAUUUCUGAAGAUUUUUUCAUGGAAUAUUCUAUGUUUUACCUUUCAAGGGGUUAAAAGUGAGAAAUGAAUUAAUUGGACUCUGGAAAUUGGUGUAGCUAUUCUGUGGCCUAGUAGCUCUUAAAAUUUUACAAAACUCCCUUUCCUUGUUAUUUGAUUCCCUCUCAUAUUUGGUAUGCUGAAUUACAGGUCUAUCAAUGGAAUCUUAGAUUAUAUGUUAUGUGGUUUUCAGAUGUGCCUAUAUUGUACUUAGAUGGUAUUAUGAGCAAAUUGCUAGUGCUACUUCAGGUAUAUUGUCAGAACAAUCAACACCCGACUUAUAAUACAUACGUUUAUAUCAGAUUUACUGUAAUGAACGAACAAUGCCUUCCUCUAAAUUUUUCAUUUUUGGUGCCAGAAUGGAAAACAAAUAGUGCAAGAAGGUGUAUUAAUUGCCUUGGCAUCAGUUGCUGACUCAUCUCAGGUAUUCUAUAAAAUAUGCUUUGAUUAGAAGCUAUUACUUAUAGAAACCUGUCUGACAGGAUGAUCUUUUUUGGAGUAGCUACUCGGAUGGAAACUUCUUUAAAAAGGGAAAAAAAAAAUUAGGGAAGCAAAGUUUAUGUUGAAUUAAAAGAAAAGGUAUCUACAAAAGUGAACAAUCCGUCGCUCCUUAUAAUACCAGCUUCGGCAUUUGAAGUUCUCUCUCUCUCUUUUUUUUUUUUUUUUUUGGGUUGAAAAGAAUAUUUCUAGAUACAUAUAAUGCUCUUUACUGUCUGUUCACCUAAUAUUUAACUCAUUUUGAAGGCUCUAGAUUUUAUUAAUGAGAAACCAGGAGUCCGUCCUUGUAUUGAUUACCACAACAGCUGUUGAUUGCUGUGGUUUGUCUUUAACACAAGAACUUAAAAUUGUGAGUUUCAUUUUAUCCAAAAGCCUAACUUUCAAUGUUUUCAGACUAACCAUCCUUUCUCCACUAAAUCAGAAAACAUAUGAUCAGUAAUGAACUUAGAGAUUCAGUAUCUUAAUUUAGUGUAAGUAGCCCUACUAUAUAACAAAUUCAGUCUUCGGAUUCUGCAAUUCAAUUUUUCUUGAUAAGUUUACUUUUUUUUUUCUUUUUUCUCCUCAAAAUGUAACUAAUUUUCUUUAUCUUCAACUUUCUUCAAUGCUCAGGAACUAGUGAAACCAAAGUAUUUGAUGAGAGCAGCUCACUGGGAAGUGAUUACUUGACUGAGGUAAGAGCCUGAUUUCUAUAAACAGUACAAAAGGCCUUUGCGGAUGACUUGCACAGAUUUUAAAAUAGUCGCAACGUAAAUAUAGAUUUAUUGCCAUUUAGAUUUUUAGACUUUUAAGAAGCAAAUAAAUAAUUAAUUAAAGAAAGUAGUUUUAUCAGACAAAAUUCAUAUUAUCCUUAAAAUUCAAAAAUCAUCAUAAAAAAUUAAGUUUCUCUCGCCCUCUCUUACUCUCAGUCUUGUUCAACCCUUCGCCUCUCAGCCUUGCUCGAUAGUAAUUUAUUGAUUUCAGUUUUAGGUAAGCUCUGUCACUGCAAACUUUUGGUCAUGUGAAUUUUUGUUAUUGCAUAGAUCUUAAUUGGUCAAAUUGAAGGGGAGAAAGUUGCUGAUCGCAAAGCUGAUUCUGAAAGCACUUCUUCACUUUUUCAGUAUGAUUUUACAGAUUCAGUAUGUAAUUGAAGUUCUAAAGCAAUGAUUUAGAGUAUUUAGAUGAAUGGUUUAAAUUAAUCCAUCAAAGUUGUGGUUUAUACACAUGCAUCAUCAUGGGAACAUCUAAUUAGAUAAUAGAUUUUUACUUUUUAUCCUUCUUGUCUAUUUUAAAUAUGUGUGUGUGUGUGUGUGUGUGUGUAAAAAUAUAGGAAAAUUCUCAUGCGUGGAUGUCCGCACAAAAUGCAUGAAUUUUCAUGUGGAUUUAGGUGGUGAAAGCCUUUUACACCGGCAUGAAACCCCAAGUCCGUACAAAAAUACAUGCAAGCAUUUUAUAUAUAUAUAUAUAUAUAUAUAUAUAGUUAGGAGACUGCAUGAGGAAUACAACUCUUUGUUCAAAGUUGUAUUAGUCUGCAAUUCAGAAGUAGGCAAAUUGAAAUUACUUUCCUGAUUACUUGUAACGGGUUCUGUUCAGAGUCCAAUUCUACUAGUGGCGUCAAAUUCACCAUCUCUACUCUUCAAAUGACUAUUUGUCUUACUCUAUGCUUCAUCUUAGUUACAGUAAUUAGUUAAUUAAUUUUUUAAGAUCUAGUAAAAGUAAUUAGUUUUAUCUAAUUUUUAACUGGAUUUCCAGAUUAGGUUAAUUUAGAUUCAUGUGAAUUGGGAGUGAUUCAAUUUUUUAUCUGAUUUCACUGUUGAUGCAUAAUUACUAUUAGUAUGAUGAUUGAUUUGUGAUUUUAACUUAUAAUUUGGUUAUUGAUUUAGUUUAUACAAGAUGUAAUUGGAUCUAUCAUUGUGAGAUUGUAAUUCACAUGAAAUGACCUUUUUUUUUAAUUUAAAGUUGAAUGCUUUUUGAGUUUUUUGAAAAAGAAUGCUUUAUAAUUUUAAUCUGAAUAUUUUGGGUCACGAUUUAAAUGAUUAAUUUUAUGUGGUAAGUGAAGUAGCAGUGCCAAAUUGUAGACAGCUACAUAUUGGGGUGAAAGUUUGGGAUUUCAAUUAUACAUUUUAGAUGUAAUUUAUUCAUCAAGUUAAAAUCGUGCACUGGCAAAUUUUGUCAUUGAAUUGGAUAAUUAGAUCAGCAUUUGAUGUUUACUUGUGUAUGUGAGUAAGGCUGUUCUCUGUAUGUUGGAGUUGGUGAUGCAAGUUGAAACUAACCUGAUGUCGACUCUUGGCAUGUUAGAGUUGAAUUGGAAUUGCAAUUAAUUCAUUAAGAGUAACUUAUUAGAAAAUGGGGUUUUCUCAUUGAAUUAGAUAAUUAGAUCGGCAUUCGAUGUUUACUUGGAUAUGUGAGUAGGACUGUUCUCCAUACGUUAAAUCAGGUUGGAAAAAUUAUUUACUGAAUUGUUAUGGGUGCAAUUCAUGUGUUGAAACAUUGAAGAGUUUUAGCCAUUAUGUUACUAUCCUGUGGUUUUCUAAGGUACAAGAGACAUUAAAAAAAAAAAAAAACAUAAUAUCUUAAUCACUUCUAGUAAUCCUACAAGUGCACAUGACUUUGUGGGUUUUGAAUUCAAGGAACAAAAUAGUAAGUCUAGUGCGUAAUAUUUGAAAACACAUGUAAAAUGGAUUGAAUUGCUGUAAGAUCUGUCCAAAUUAAACAGUGUAAACUAAUUUACAGGCUUGUGGGAACUAAGAAUUUUUUUUUUUUUUCCUAGCAACUUCAGAGUCAUUGAAAAUUGGAAAUUUUGUCCAAAAGCAGCUUUUUGUUGUAUGAUUAAAGAGAAAUCUGAGAUUUCAGGUUGAAGGAAGGACAAUAAAAGCGCAGAUAUGGGACACUGCAGGCCAGGAGCAAUACAGAGCAGUAAUGACUGCCUAUUAUAGGUGCGCACUGGGAGUGCUCUUUUAGUUUAUGAUGUGAGAAAAUCAGCAUUUGUAGACGUGAGCCGGUGGCUGAAGAAUCUGAGGGACCAAGCAGACUCCAACAUCGUGAUCUUGAUGAUCAGCAUUGUGAUCUUUUAUUUAAUUUUUGUUAACAACAUUGUAUUUGAAUUAUUCUCCUCAUUGUUGUUGCUGACUUGAGAUAUCAGAAUUAUUUUGUUAUGGCAGUGUGCGCUAGCAAUGUUACAGCUUACUCUGGUUUUUAGUGUAUAGUAUACUGCUUCAGUUGGAUUCUCUACUACAAGGCAAUGAAGUUAGCUUUAACAUUUUCUGAGGUCAUUUUUGUAUAUUGAUUUGACAAAAAUGGUAUUUUCCUUGUGUGUUUGCCUCGAACAAUUGCAAUUUUCUAGUUAUAAUGUUUUUGAAACAACAUCCAAAUAGCGUUAAAUAUCUUUUGCUAUACAAAAGUCUCUCUCAGUUUGCUAUUAUUAUUAUUCUUUUUAAAGUUCAUUGCAUUAUUAUGACCAUUACAUAGUUUGUUAUAGCAAGUUCGGAUGCUGCACUACUUCAUUUGUGGAAACAGACUUUUAUUUAUUUAUUUUUUAGAAAAAGAAGAAUAAAAAAAAUACUAUGGCAACUUACUUGGCUCCAAGUAUAAUAUUAAUAAAGAAAUAUAUAUUGAGUGUGAUGCCACGUUGCAAUGGAAAAUUGUUACCAAUAAUUAAUGGAAAAUGAUAUGAAAGAAAAAAAUCGUACCUGAUGAAGUCAUGAAGCAUCAUCACAUCCUUAAGCUUUAAGACAAUAAUAGUCGUGUAAAUUGGGGACCCGCAAAGCCGUCGAGUAAAUUUGCUUAACGUGAUUUGAAGUUAUACAUAAUUGAUAAUUUCAAAAGAAAUGAAAAAGAAUAAUCGAAAAAUCAAUAUGCACUUCUAUCUUGCCACCACUCACCCUCUCGACUAAAUGUUGAACUUUCAUGGCUCUAAGCUCCCAUCAAGAAUUAGAAAUUCACAAAUCCAACCUUUAUUAUCUCAUCAAUACAACCUUUAUAAGCCGUGGCCCGUGGGGUCAAUUGCAUAUAUAUAUAUAUAUUUUGGCUGAACGGUCAAUUCCAUUUUACUUCUGACGUAACAAGCACUCCCAUUCCCACACACCAUUACUUAUUCACAAGUUUACAUUCAUUUGGCUUUUGAGUCCUGUGGUGCUAAUUUUUGAAGAUACUCUUUCUAAACUGAGCGACCAAUUUCUUUUAUGCUAAAUGUAUCGAGUGAUGCAGAAGAAGAAGAAGAAGAAGAAGAAGAGUUGCAUUCCGAAGCCAAUAUGAUGCAAAUAAGCUGCCCUCGCCAUCAUCACCUUCAACCGGCAGCACUUUAAUCCUUCAAGGCAUAUACAUGCCCUUUUCUUACAGUUUGUAGUCAUUAUGAGCUAAAUUUUCAACACAUACAUUCAGUUAUUUCUUUAUAUCAAUAUAUUGAUGAGUCUAAGUUUAAUUAAACUCAAAUUUUAAACUUUUGAAAGUAGAGGUUGAAAAGCUUUUUCAAAAUAUUAAAAUUUUUAAAAUAUUCUUCACUUUUUCAAUAAUUUUAUUACAUUCUUUUCAUAGCAUAACUUUUAAAAAAUUGAUUAUUAAAGUAAUUUUAUAGUUUUUAAUAAAAACUCUCAUUAACAAUCAAACAACUGUAAUUUUUUUCUUUGUAAAAACUUUACCACAAAAAAAAAAAAUAAACUCUACUCAAAAUCGUACCUCAUGAAGACAUGAAGCAUCGUCACAUCCUAGCACCUCUUUAAUUAAAACUCUUAUGAAACCCCCACAUAUUAUAUGUAUAGCUCUUAUAAUUAAAUAUUAAACAUAAUAUUUUAAAAUAAAAAUUCUUAUCAUUAUAUAAUUUAUUAUUUUAUUGUCCCAAAAUUAUUUUCAUUUUAAAAUGAUUAUUUAUAUCAUUUACAUAUGGGAGGGUUCAUGUUUUUUAAGUAUAAAAAUGUUUUAAUUAAGUUAAAUUUAUAUUUGUCCUUCUAUGUAAUUUUCCUCUAGCAAUAGAGCUACAAUUACAAAAUGAGGGGUAUUAAUCCUAUAAGUAAUUUAAGAGGCUGUGAAAAGCACUACUCUAAUAUUAUCUUCAUUAAAUUUCACAAAGAUAGUAACUUUUAUGGUUCUACCACCCCUCGAAUUUUCUUAUAAAGCCUUUCUUUUAUAUUUAUGAUUUCACCUUAGUAAGACCACAUAAAACAACAAAUUCAGUUUGAUUUUUUUUUAACCUCUUUCUUUUGUAUAAUUUUAACUAGGGUUGGGCAAAAUCGGAUUCGGAUCGGGUUCAGUUCAACCCGAUCGGAUUUCUGGUUGGUCGGGUUAGAAAUAAAUCCAUCCGAAUUCAAUCCAAACUUGUAAUCCGAUCUGAUCCGAUCCGAAUAUAUAUUCGGAUCGGGUCAAAAAAUUGGGUUGAGUUGGGGUCGGAUCGAAUUCGGAUUAAAAACGGUUUGAACUGGAAAAUGAAAAAUUUAUGCCCAUCAUUGGAAAAAAAUACAUUACAGCUUUCUUUAUCAUUGAUUUUUCUUUAUCAUUAGCUGGUGAACAUUAAAAUUUUACAAUUUAUAUAUGAUAAUAAUCACAACAUCAAGAAAAACCAUCAAAAUUUCAAAACACAAGGCUCAGGUUGCGGGUUGGAGAAGUCGGGUUGCUGAGUUGAAGUGGAGCUUGGAGGCGAAAAACUUGGUGAUGGACGGAAGCAUAGAUCUGGUGGUUGUGUCUGCAAAUAAUCAUCGGUUCUUGUGCUGCGUCUUUGAGUGACCAUCGGUUUGCUUUUGUGACUGAAACCCGAUCUGUGAAACCUGAUUGUGUGAGAAAUCGAUUUGUGAAAACUGAAGAGUGAAGACUUAAAAAGAAGAAAGCGAGGGUGUGAAGAUUUAAGGGUGAAAACUGGAGAAGAACCAAAGAAGAGAGUGAAGCGUGAGGCUGUGAAGUGUGAGUAAAAGGUUGUUUAUUGCGAUUUUUUGUGGGUGGGGGGUGGGUGGUGGGUGUGUGUCAGUGAGUUUGAGUGUGUCAGUGUUGAGUGUUUCGCCCCUUUGUGUGUGGGUGUUUUAUUUUUAUUUUUUAUUUUUUUUCAAUAGCCAAAUCCGAUCGGAUUUUCGGAUCGGAUCGGGUUUCGACGAUCCGAUCGGGUUAUGUUAAAAAUCCGAUCCGAUCCGAACCCGAUUAUUUUCGGAUCGGGUCGGGUUAUUUGCCCAGCCCUAAUUUUAACCAUGGUUAAAAUAGUUAAGAUAAAAGGAUUUAAAAUAUUAAAUGAUGGAACGAAGGGAAAAGUAUCCAAAUCACGGGGACAAAAGAGUGUUGCCCCAUACAGACUAAUUAAGAACGAUCCAUCAUCAAAAAAUGAUAGAGAAAGCGGGGCUAAGAAGUAUACACUGCAACUGUAUACUACUUUGACGUAAAACUUUAUUAUGGAAAUUAAGUAAUUAUAUCUUAUUUUGAUGGUUUUGCAGUUUGGAAAGUUUGCAAUCAUUAUCGGCACCAUACCACACAUUAUUUCUAUUUCUAAUUCCAUUGCUUGUCGAAAUUAUUGAGAUUAAUAAUAUUCAAGAUGAAAAGAAAAAUGUUGAUCGAAACAAAUCCAAUUAGUAUGUGCCUGUUUCUGUUGGCUCUACUCAUCUACGUCUUUGCCUUUUUUGUUGCCAUGAAAUCGAACCAUCAAAUAUUCAAGGCAAUUGCUGUUAUCUCAGGAUCUCUUUGUUCAGCCUCGUUGGUCUCCAUUAUUCUACCACACCCAUAUGGACAUUUUAGUUUCAUUAUGUGGGCUUUUGUUCUUCUUCUUGUUGCUUAUAACAGGAGGCUUUAUAAGAAGAUUUGGUAAUUUUGGAAUAGAUUUGGAGAAAACAACCAACUACAAUUGCCAAUAUAGCUCGAUCGCCUGCUAGGUGUGGAUGAAUUAAAACUUUUACAUGCAAAGUACCAAAAAUCAUUAAGUGCUAUUAUAGUUUAUUCACAUACACAUCUCUUAUAGUUCUUAGCUUGACCAAAUUAUGAUUUUAAUUAUCAAAAGAAGAUCUUGUACCAAUCUAAAACAUCAAGUUAGUGUUAAAUUGAUCAAUUUAUCUUAUAUUGAAGAUUUUGUUUUUUCAUUUACUUACCACAUUUAUCGUGAUGCAUUGAUUUAGGAAAAAUAAUCAAAAUCCUUGGUUGUUUAAGAAAAAAUUCAUUAACUUUAAUUUCAAAUAUUUGUUGUAUUUUUUUAACUUUUAAUGUGAUAAAUCUACCAUUAAACAAUGAAAAAAAUCUAGAUAUACUGGUUAAAACACACCCAAAAAAAAAAGUUCACAAUUUUAUUUUUUACAACAUGAGUAUUCCAAUGAAUUGUGAGAGAGGAAUUGAUUAAUUUCUACAAACCGAAUGAGGUUUAAUAACACAUAUUUCAAAAGGUAUUUAUUAAUAAAAGUAUAAAUAAAAUACAUCACUUCAAAAAAGAAAAAAAAAUGAAAAGCAAAAUUACCAUUUGGCUGAGGAGUAUAUGCUGUUGCGUGAUCAAAUUUAUUUUUUAUUUUCCCCCACCUUGUCGAAGCUGGUACUAAAACUAACCAGUAAAAUUAAAAAAUAAUAAAUUGGCUGUACUAAGCUAAAUGCAUAAAUCAAUUAAGCAUUUUUUUUUUCAAAAAGAAAAUUAUAUAUGCAGACACGCACAUGUGGAUGACAGCGGCGGUGGCCAAGAAGCAGCCAGAGUGGCAGCGGCGGCAGCUGUGACGAUUGUGGCAGCGACCAUGAUUGUGUUUGUAAUAUAUUUGCCUUCUCUUAUUUCUCUCUCUCUCUGCAUUACAAUAAAAAUUAUCGUAAAUAAUACGCCAGAGAAGGGGGAGGAAGCACAUGAGAUGAGAAUGGCCCCAUGAUAUGAUAGUGGACUUGAGCAAAGUCGCUGGUGCCUUUUGAAUUUUGAUGCCGCAAUUUUUAUAUUUUUUUUUUGUGUGGAAAUUUCUCAUUUACAUGUGGCAAUUACAUAAUUAAUUUAACAAUACUUUAAGAAAAAUGAUGCAUGCACAAUAAUUUUAUAAGAGAUAGAAAAAUAUUUUGUAGUGAAGUUUUCUUUUGUUAUGCAGUUAAUUUUUUUUUAUUCUAUAGUGAUCGUGUAUGGUUGUUUGUACUAUCUGUUGUGCACAUGUUAAUAUAUAUAUAUAUAUAUUAAUUUAAUUGUAACAUUUGGCCUAAAACAUUGAUUUAGGGAAAAUAAUCAAAAUCCUUGGCUGUUUAAGAAAAAAAAAACUAUUAAUUUUAAUUUCAAAAUUUUGUUGUAUUUUUUUAUUAUUUUACCUUUGAUGUGAUAAAAUCCACCAAUAAUGAAGGAAAGAUUCUGGGAUAUAUUAGUUAAAAAACAAAAAAAAAGAAAGAUAAAAGUUCACAUAAGUUUUUUUUUUUCUUUUAACAACAUGAGUAUUUUGAUGAAUUGUGAGAGAGAAUUGAUUAUUUUUUACAAGAAAAAUAUGGGUAUUAAUCAUUUUCAUGAUUUAUCACCUAUGUGCAAAGUACAAAUAAGAAUACAACAAUAUAACAAUGAAAAGAAAAUUACUAUUUGGCUGAGGAGUAUUAUGCUGUUGCAUGAUCAAUAUUUUUGGGCUCAUUCUCUCUCUUUGUUUUUUACAAUAAAAAAUUAAAAAAAUAAUAUAAAAAAAUCACAGGAAAAUCAAGGAAAUCUAAACCUUAUCCUCAUGACACCACAUCAGAAACAGCACUUACCCAUUCCUAUGUUACAUGUAUACAGGUUGAAGUUGUCAUCUCUGAGUCCAACGCAAUAUUCAUCCAAUUGAUUUUUGGAGACACCAAAACAAGUCUCGAGCACUUGAUAGGAAUUUGCCCAUCUGGUCAACGCAAUAUUCUAUAAAUUGGAUGUAUAGAUGAUCGAAAAGAAACUCCAGCGACUAGGCCCCAAAUAUAGCUUUCUGUCACGGGACGAGAGGUUACGAACCCGUGCGGCACUCCCGCAUCCCAUACUACGAGAGUAAGCCUAGUGGAAGUGGCACAAUGUCGACUGGUUUCGCCCUGCCUCGGGCUCGUCAGGAGAACGGCUUCAGUUCCCAACCAGUGUGCGUCAGGAUUUUCCUAGACCCCACUUCAACGUUAAGUCCUCGACUAGCGACAAGCUCCCCAAACUCAACCGGGUCGGCCUGCCUGAACUCCAAAGAGUCUAGGGCAUUGUAUUCCCCACACACACAUUCCUGAAGCACGUCUCCAACAAUCAGCACAACCAUCAUCGACACUAGCGUACCAGCGCAUAUCUUGGGUGCCACGAUUGCGGUCCGUGACAUUCUCCCACCGCCAUAACCACGCACGUCCUCGUGCAUGCAGAGUACGCCUCGCAAAUGUGCACUUCCGCGCGAAAACGUGAAGAUCGCCUUGCCAAUCUCAACCCAUGAACUCCCUGCCUACUCGUCCUCAAUCCGUGGAGAGGACCCGCGUGCAGACACCAUCCACUCGGUGCGAACGCUUGGGGGUGUGAGAACCCGCCUGUUCGUCCCGCUUGUCGACCCUUGCUUCCAAAAGGGUGGGGACCCGCGUGGUGCGGCAUUGGAGCGCUUGGCGAGCUCGCGACGAGGGCUUCGAGAGAUGACAAGCGCGGCUCUGAUACCAUUUUGUCACGGGACGAGAGGUUACGAACCCGUGCGGCACUCCCGCAUCCCAUACUACGAGAGUAAGCCUAGUGGAAGUGGCACAACGUCGACUGGUUUCGCCCUGCCUUGGGCUCGUCAGGAGAACGGCUUCAGUUCCCAACCAGUGUGCGUCAGGAUUUUCCUAUACCCCACUUCAACGUUAAGUCCUCGACUAGCGACAAGCUCCCCAAACUCAACCGGGUCGGCCUGCCUGAACUCCAAAGAGUCUAGGGCAUUGUAUUCCCCACACACACAUUCCUGAAGCACAUCUCCAACAAUCAGCACAACCAUCAUCGACACUAGCGUACCAGCGCAUAUCUUGGGUGCCACGAUUGCGGUCCGUGACAUUAUGGUCAAGUAAGAAACGCGAAAAAAGAUGACAAAAGUAAUUAAGUUCCAUACGAAUCAAAGAAAGAACUGCAUUUAUUGAAAAUUAAUGCUGAAGAGGGGUCUAGGAAAAUCCUGACGCACACUGGUUGGGAACUGAAGCCGUUCUCCUGACGAGCCCGAGGCAGGGCGAAACCAGUCGACAUUGUGCCACUUCCUCUAGGCUUACUCUCGUAGUAUGGGAUGCGGGAGUGCCGCACGGGCUCGUAACCUCUCGUCCCGUGACAAUAAGCUUAGUUAUGAGCAUUCUGUGAUCUAGAGAGCAAGGGCUAGGAGCUUGAUGGUGCCAUGUUAGAAUAGUGUUAUGAGGUUUGUUCAUGCAUUAACAAUUGAUCUUGAUGUAGGCAAAUUUUUAAACCCAGUGAGUGUAUAAGUUUCUCUUCUUUUGGGUUUUGUAGAAUUAUUCAUUUUUCUCCUUAAUUCCCUUUAUCAUGCUCUGCCAUAACAGAGAAACAUGGCAGAGCAUUAUGAAUAUUAUUAUUUAAUAAUAAUAAUAAUAAUCAUUCUAAUCGAAAGAAUGAUUGAUAGAUGAUUAAUCAACAUUGCUUAAUCAAGAAAUAACACAAAAAUAUCAAAGAAACAAUAUUGAACUAGGCAAAAUGAUCAAUUACAAAAAGGCCGCAUAAAAGAACACAACACAGGCAGGAAAAAAUAAUCAUCCUUACUCUUCUUAAAAUGAGUUUAUCUUAAAUUAAAAAUAGAAUCAUAUGUCAUCUGAACAAAAAUUCUGCAGUUCAUAAAUAUAUCAAAGACUCUACACAAUCACUCAACGCAAGUUUUUUACACCAGGAUGUUCUGACUUUCAGUCACCAGAGCUGGGUUAUAAGUUGGUUGACAGAGCAAUUCCGGCACUUGUAACUUGGAGUUAAGAGAGUUUCUAAUAUUGACUCAGUGUAAAGUUUGCAAAAAGGUCUAUUGAUCUGGGUCUUUUUCUCUUACAUAGGAAGCUUUCCUCCUGAUUGUUAAAAUUAAUAUGGCAGCAUAUGUUCUUGUUUAUAUUUAUAUCCUAAGGGAGUGGGGAGUAACAAUUAUUUCUUAAAUAACUUUUGAUGGUUUUGCAGUAAUGACAAUUUCAUUUCCUCAAUUUCAUAUCAAAAAAUUUUUGGAUAUCUCAUCCCGACCUUGGUCGCUGUCAUGAGUGCGAAUGUGCAAGGCACAAAUGAGCCGUUGAUGGAAACUCGUAGAGUAAGCUUGUGUGUUUCUCUGGUGGCCAUAAUCUUCUACUACAUUGCAUUUGCUGCCGAUAACAUAUCUCGACGCUAUCAAGCAAAAUUUUCGCUACAUUGCAUUUGCUGCCGAUAACAUAUCUCGACGCUAUCAAGCAAAAUUUUCGCAGCUAUGUGGCCCUAUUGCUCUUAUCUUUGGAUCUCUUUCAGUAGCGUCGUUGGUCUCCACAUUUUUCACACAGUUGCUGAAGUCAUUUGCUAUGUUGCAUUGGGUUGCUCUGGCAGCACUGCUAUUAUCAUGGUUGCAUACCAAUACGGCAGAAAAAUUAUGGAUGCUUGUCAUUGGCUUUACCACAAAAUUUUGAGGCCAUCUUUCUGCAAGAUAUUGAAUUGGUUUAAAGCUCAUUAUAACAACAACCCUUCGCCAGAGCAGCAGCAACGUCCGGCAGUGUAAUUGAAGAAGUUUAAUCUUUGUUUUAAAUUGCAUCCAAGACUUUUCACUGACAGGUUCCACUUAUGUUUCCAGAUUUCCAUAGAUUAAAAUAAAUACCUGCUGUUGCAAACAAAUAAGCUCUGUUUUGUUUUUUUGUUGUUAUUUUCACUCUCUGUUUCAGCUUUUCAUUGGUUCAUGAUCUUCGGUUUCCUUUUAGUUUCUUGGCUGCUUCACUUCUUUAUGCCUUUUCACUGAUAGAUUCCACUUAUGUUUCCAGAUUUCCAUAGAUUAAAAUAGAUACCUACUGUUGCAAACAAAUAAGCUCUGUUUUUUUUGUUGUUAUUUUUACUCUCUGUGUCAGCUUUUCAUUGGUUCAUGAUCUUCGGUUUCCUUUUAGUUUCUUGGCUGCUUCACCGCUUUAUGCCUUCACGACGGCUUGACUUCUUUAUGACUUCUUGAUUGCUUCCUUUCUCUAAGGCUUCUUGGCUGCUUCUUUCUUCCAGCUUUUUAAUGCUCUGUUUCUUUUUCUUCUUUGUUGCUUGAUCUUAAGGCUUCUUUUAAGUUCUGCCUCCUUUUGUCUUUCUUUUUCCUCUUGGUCCUCCUCUGUUCGAGUUCUUUGAUUUCUUUCUUGCCUUGGCUUUCAUGAACUGAAUUCUCGUUGCUGCUCUUCUCUGUUAUUUGCUGUUGCUGCUGUUCUCUGUUAUGGGCACUUGCCGAUUCCUUGCUGCCCCUCUCUUGGCCCCCUUUUACUGUCAUAAUCUUGCCCCUUUUAUAGAUAAUUUUGUGCUUAUCUAUUACAGGUGUCAAUACAAGUUACACAUGCCCAACACCUUGACUCUCCAGCACAGUAGGCUUAUAUUUCAUUAAUUCAUUAACAAUACCCAAUAAUAUGCAGCUUUUAAUUCAAUAAUAUACAGUUUUUUAUAGUGCGUUCAUAUCGGAUUAUUAGAUGCAUUGUUUUAUUAUUAUUAUAAAAUAUCAAUAUAUGUAUUGCACUUGUAUUUUCCUGACGAAUUAGAGACUUGAUAUCAGCUGCAAAGGCAAAGCAGUAGAUUGUUUUAUUGUUAUUAUAAAAUAUAAAUAUAUGUGUACCAACUAAGUGUUGGCUCCAUUAGCAAUGGAGUCUCCUUAAGUGGCUUGACUGGGUUUGCUACUCAGUUCGAAUUGCAGGGAAGUCGCCUUUGUUGUGAGAACCUGUGCCUCCCGGUUCGAGCGGGGACUUCUAAUCUGAGUUAUGGUACGGGUUUAAAGGUGCCUCCCACACUUGGGGCCCUCCCCAAAAUACCUCAUGGUUAAGACAAAAAAAAAUAUAAAUAUAUGUGCGUUAAUAUCGGACUCUUAAUCAUGCUGAAAUUGUCUCAACAACCAGCUGAUAAUAAACCCAGAUUGCACCAGAUUCAGCCACGUGGAUAGCGGUUUGCAACGACGCUGAUUCCAGCUCCUCACAUGCUUCCUCAUGUGAACCACUUAAGUCAUGGUUAAAACGGCUUUCGAGGCUGUCGUUUUAAGGCCUAUGAAACUUAAGUCAAUCACGUGUACAGCUCGUGAUCAACUAACUCAAACCCCUUUGCUUAAAACGCUGCCGUUCCUUAUGUAUAAGUUUUGAAUUCAGCAUUUAGUCCAUACUAAUAGGGAAUAUGUUGUUGUUUCGGAUAAUUUUUAUGAUAGAAUAUUUUUAAUUGUCUCACCACCUCAUUUUUUAAACAUGUUUUUAUCUAAACCUUUUGAAGGUACUUAUUUUAUUUUUAUUAUUUUAGGAAAUUCGAAAUCCAAUUCAUAUCCUCGAUUUUUUUGGCCGUUUUCAAAUACUGGCAGUUUUCCUUAAAAAAAAAAAGUUAAAAAUAAUAAUGCUUUGAAGGCAUAAAUUAUCAAACUUUCAACCACUUAAAAAAAAAAAGUUAACAAUAAUAAUAAUUUGAAGGCAUAAAUUAUCCAAGGAAAUAGGAUUAAUUUUAAAAGUCAAAGUCCAUAUUCAUCUUUACUUCUUAUCAAGCAGGAGAAUUGUUGUUUUCCCUCUACGAAAAUGACUAUUUGCCACUAAACCCAUUCUAUUUUUAUAACGUCUGGUAACUUGCUUGACAUCAUAAUUUUAGAUUAUUAUUCUCAUUUCUAAAUACGUUUUUAUUCAUUUUUUUAUAAGUUUGAUAAAUCUGAAAUUAAAAUUUAAAAAAUGUUACACAUUAAAAAUAAGAAAAAUUCUUAUUCUUAUUUUUUUAUUUAUUCUAAUCUAUUUCUUUUUAUUAUUUAUUUAAUUUUUUACAUAUAAACUAAAAUGAUAUUAAUUAAAAAUAAUAAAUAGAAACUUUAAAAUAAUUUCUACUUUAAAUACAUAUUUGCUUUUCACAUAGAUUGUAAGAUAUACCAAAUGAUCACUGUAUAACAAACAAAAAUAUUAUAUUAGUAAUGUUCCAAUGAGGGAUUCCUUUAACUAUUAAAUUAAGGGAUAAAUUAAAAGAUAAGUAAAACAUACGCGUCAAUGCAACGUAUUUUAUUAUGUAAUGGAUUAAAGUGCAUGUUUUUCUUUAUUUUUAACUUAUCCUUAACUUAAUAACCUAAAAAAACUCUUUAUUGGAGCAUUACUAAUAUAUGUAUGUAGUAUCAUUCUCUAGUGUAAAUGUCCUCAUAUUUUUCAUAUGGCCAUAUUAGUAAACAGUGCAGUUUAAUAGUGCAUUAAAACAUAACUCUAUUAAAACUUAUAGUUUGCAUUGACUUUAUUAAAUCGCACGGUUUAACAGCAUGUCCACAUUAAAAAAAAUACAUUGUAUAUCUCAUAAAAAAAAAAAAUUAUGUUUGCUAUACCAAUAAAAUUGGAGCAAGCAUCAUGACACUUAUUAAUGUCAGAUUUCUUAGGUUAUUCAAUAAAAUUGGUUUCAAUCUCGCUUUUAUUCAAGAAUUUCAUGUUUGUAUCCGAUUAAUCUCAUCAAAGUUGAUGUGUUUUUCCUCUAACUAAUGGUUAGGGAUGUAAUUUAUGUCUCUUAAUUUAAAAAGUUUAGGUUUGGGCUUUGAUUAUUUGAUUAUUAAUCUUGUAGCCUUUGGAUACUUUCAAUGAGAGUCUAUUAAUCCACAUUAAGUAUGUUGUAUUUGGACUAUUAAGCUGAAACUAGAUGGCUUCUGUUUACUAAGCAAUACAAGAAUUUGAGUUAUAAUUAGGCUAGCUUUAUGGUUGGCUGUAACUAGAUGGGUUCUGUUUACUAACUUAUCUGUGUUAUCGUCUUUAUUAACCCGUUCUUUAAGCUAUAUUAGGGUAUUAGAAACAGAGCUAUGAAAGAAAUUAGCACCUGCAUUCAUUUUAGUGAAGCUUGGACCAGCUUGUUCAUUCUUAUACAACUAUUAGAGUUGCGCAACUCCAUUCAUAUUCCCCCAGUGUUGGCCAUAGCUGUCUUGUGUGCAUGGAAUUUAGAGAAACAAUAAAUUUAAUGUUAGUGAAUUUAUAAUAAAAAGCUAAAUUCACACGAUGUUAAAUUUAUUGUAAAAGAAAACAAUGUUAAUGUUAGUGAAUUUAUAACAAAAAGCUAACCACGCAUGAAACUUAUUUUUAUUUAAUUUUUGUUAACAAUGUUGUAUUUGAAUUAUUCUCCUCGUUGUUGUUGCGACUUGAGAUAUCAGAAUUAUUUUGUUAUGGCAGUGUGCGCUAGCAAUGUUACAGCUUACUCUGGUUUGAGAAUAGAUGUUGAAAAAGUUUUUUUCAGUAUUAAAAUUUCUAAAAUAUUCUUCACUUAUUUAACAAUUUUAUUUCAUUCUUUUCAUAAUAUAACUUUAAAAAAAUUGACUAUUAAAAUAAUUUUAUAAUUUUUAAUAAAAUUUCUCAUUGACAAUCAAACAACUAUUUUUUUUUUUUUUUGUGUGUGAAACCUUUACUUGUAAAAGUUUUACCAAAAAAACUUUAUUUAGAUGAGCUCUAUUUGAAAAGGUUUUACCAAAUGGAGUCUCAAUAAAGUUAUUUAAUAGAUAAAAUAACUUAUUUAAUCCUUAAAAGUUCUUCUUUAAAAUUAAAACAACUAUAAAAAUUUUGAAAAGAACCUAUAAGAUUAAAUAAACAUUUAUAACUAUUAAGUAACUCAUAGCAAAUAGGCACAUAAUUGUAAAAUGAUAAGACUUUAAUAUUUUCAUAGUGAUUUGAUAUUUUGUAAUUCCUGAAAUAGUUAGGCGAUAAUAACUCUUUUUAUAAUUAUAAAAUCAUAUGUUUGCUUGAACAACAAAUUAGAAUUGACAACACUGUUGUAAUGUAAAAAACAUUAGUAAAUUUACUUUCACUACAUACUUCAAUUACAUUACUUUUUGCACUGUUUAGGGUCCUCUGUAGCGGAAUGUGAACAGACCGUUUGUAUGCUUAAAGAUUCGAAUUAGUUGAGUUAAUUAACCCGAGUUAGUUGAUAAGAGAUGUGAUUUCUAUCCACCCCGCCACUGAGUUGAGUCAAAUUAUGGGGAUGUACGAGUGUGACUCUGCCUUUUUCUAUGAGAAAUUGUAACCCCUCUUCCUCAUUUUAUUGCUUCUCUUUCUUCUCUCCCUGCUUUUUUAAACAACCGCACAUUAAUCAUCACGUUUUGCAAAUAUUCUUCAUCCAUCCUUUGACCAACAUCUUGCUCAUCAAUUCAGACGUUAAAACAAUAAUCUUACCAGGUCCACAGUCACUAAUGAUCUAAUAAUUUGAUGAAAUAAAUAGAUAGAGUUUGUUGAAUCAUGCAUGAAUGAUAUAAAUAAAAUAUAACUUUGUUUUUUCCUACUUAAUCAGCGAUGAAAAAUUAUUUUAAAUUCGAAUCUCUUAUAUCUGCAUUUUAUUACGGACUUGCCGUUCUUUGAUGGUAGGAAAUUGAUUGUAUGAAAGAUAAAAAUUAAUUAGAAUUUUGUAUAGUAAAAAAAUUGAUUUUUUGUGUGAAGGUACAAUUCUUUUUGCCCUUCGAACGGGUGUGAUUUUGAUGGUACAAUUAAAGCUUAGCAGCCAUUCGGCCUUUGGCCGAGUGGUCAGGGCUACUGCCCUCCAACUUGGAGAGCAGCAGUUCGAACCCUCACAAAGUAUUUGUGGGGGUAUUUUUUUUCUCAAUUAAAUUUGAGUGAAGGCAGUCUUCUUUCUUACCCAAGUGUGAGGAGUAGACAUUCUUUGAAUAUUUGUGAAGGUUAAAAUCUAGGCAGCGCUCCAUUAGCAUUGAUGUAAGUUGUGUAAGUUGAUCCCAGUAAUAGUCUGAUUUGUAAAUAUCAGUUAUAAUUUCAUGUAAUAUGAGAUGUAAUUUGAGUAAUAGUCUCAUGUAAUAAAAAAAAAAUUAAAGCUUAGCGAGUACACUAAUCAGACAGUAAUCAAUACGUGGAAACUGGCUAAAGUGAGAAAUUCUAUAACUUUACGGAUCAGCUUUAGCCAAUUCCAUUACUUGCAUGUUUUUCCUCUCUCCUCAGGAUACGUGUGCUCUUUCCAUUCGGUGUUAUUCGUCGACUACCGCAGCAACCAUUACUACAAUUACGAUGCGAAUUUGACAUAUAAAAUACCAAAAUUGCACUUGAUUAACUCCAAAAAAUAACAAAAUAAGCAUUAUGUUUUGGUAAUUCAAAAACAUUUUCAUGGUGCCCAUGAGAACUGCGAGUUGAGCACAUGCUCCUGAGCUUGUCGGCUUUGUGCAGAAGAAGAAGAGUUGCAUUCCGAGAUCAAUAUGAUGCAUAUAAGAUGCCCCUGCCAACAUCGACAGAACUUUGAUCCUUCAAGGUUCCCAAGUACACUUUUCUUACAUUUUUAGUUGUUAUGAACUCAAUUUUCAAUGCAUACAGUGUUGGGAAAAUAUGCUCUUUAAAAGCAUAUGUGUUUAUUUAAUUGUAAUAAAUAAUUUUUCUGAUUAAUAAAAUAAAAGAGGUAUUUUAUUCAAAUAUCUUAAUUGCAUUAAUAUUUGUAUUAAAAUCCAUUUAAUCAUAUUAUAUGUAUUUAUGUGAUCACCAUGUGGAUUCACAGAAGACAUAAAUACAAGUUAUCUUAUGAUUAAAUAAAUUUAGUUCGCAGUUGAUAAAUAAAGUUGGGCACUUUAUUUAGGUAUAGACUGUAAUAAAUUCAUUGAAUGAUUUGUCUUAAUCAUGUAUGAAUUUAUUGAUGUAGUACGACUACAUUGAACAGGAUCACAUAUGAGAUUUAAUUAACUUUGUAAUAACUGUCAGACAUAUUAAAUCUCAUAGGCAUUGAUUUUACUGUAAUCUUAAUCUUGAGUUAAUUAUGAUUUCAUGAUUGUAAUUGUUAUUCCAUUUGAGUUACCAAUGGGCACGACACAUCCUUGUGGUCAAUAUUACCCGGUAUCUUGGUGGGAGCAAUUAUGAGUAAUGAAGUUAUGGAUUAACAAUAUAGAAUUUGUACAACACAUCUCUUGAUGGGUUUUCGGCACUUGAUCAUAUAAUUCUCUGGCCAGAGUGUGUCAACAUAUUUAGUAUGUUGAAAAUGAUCAUUAGAGAAAACCAGUAAGGAUCAAGGAAUAAGAUGUUAUUAAAUUGAUUGGACAGUUGAGAUAUCAAUUUAAUUAACGAUGUGGUACAAAGGAUUGUGCAGUAAAGAAAUCAAUGUGGCUUGGGACAAAUUAUUAUUCGAGCAUACAAUUAUGGAAGUCAGUUCCAAUCUUUUAGUGGAGUAGAUUUGGAAUUAAAUAAUUAGGCUAGUUUAAUUAUAGGCCUAAUUAUUGUAGCCACUAUUGUAUGUUCCCAAAUGAUCCCCGGGUUAGCUCAUUUAAUUGACUGCACCACUACUGGACUAAUAAGUAACAUAACUAGCUAUUUGGGUCAAAAGCCUAAAUAUAUCAUUUAGUGGGAGGCUCCAUUUAAUUAGCUUUUGUGUAAGGGGCCUUAUGUUAUUUUACAAGGUGGGUCCCCUAUUGAAAAAGCAAAUAUCGUGGGUUUUAUUUUUUGGGAUUAUUUGGAGCCUAGGGUUUUCACUAAAGGGUGAUAUAAAAGGCUUAUUUUCUCUAUAAAAAAAAAAAGCCACUUUAUACAUAUCAGAGAAUAAAAUUUUUCUCUCUAUUAUUGAGAGAAAAAUUUUCUCGUGCUAGUUGCUUUGGUAGUGAUAAAGGCGUCCAUACGUCAAGUGCAGAUCGAACCUGAGUCAUAACCUGGAAGAUCAUUGGUGACAGUUUGUGAUCUAACAAGCGUGGUGGUGACGGAUCGUGAUCUAAUAGGAGUAGUGGUGGCGGAUCGUGAUCUAGGAGCCUAAAUCACUUCAGCGGAAAAAGCCAACUCGGAUUUUCAAGGUACGAUUUCUAGAAUACAAAUUCUUAUAUAUUAUAUGAGAGCGAUCUUCAAAAGGUUUUAUAAAAAAUUUAAAAACCUAAUUUUUCCCUAACAAUUGGUAUCAGAGCCAUUUCAUAUUAAUAUAUAAGAAUUUCGUAUGAAAUCAAUUUUAAUAUUUAUGCAUUAGAGUGGCACAAUUUAUUCAGAAAUAUAUUAUUUGUGUAAUAUAUGAAUAAAGCAUGUUUUGGUUUGUCUUAAUUCAUGGUUAGAUUUUCUGUUGUAUUUUUCGUUUGGAUCUGUAACAAGAGGGGUGGGUUUUUAUCACCAUAAUUCCCUCUUGAUUUAUUUUACUGUAAUUGAAAUUUUGUAAGCCAAAAUUUGCGUUGAAAAUUUGUAAAUCACUGAAGCAUCAUCACUGGAAAACGAGCUCAAACAAUCGAGGCUGGAAAUUUCAGCAACAAGCGGUCAGCAGCACACGCUGCUGCGCGAGCAGCGCGCGGCCCACGUGGGCAGCAGCGCACGCUGCACGCCCAGCAGUUGCCGCGUGCGCGCUGUGGCUAGCAGCUGCAGCACGCGACCAACAGCUGCAGCGCGCGCGGCCAGAAGCUACAGCAGGAGACAGCGCCACCUGGUGUAGCGUAAGGGAUAAUGGCGUGCAGUUCGCGGGUUCCGUCGAUUGGUGGCUUUCCGGCGUGGCGGCAAUGGUUAAAUCGGCGUCGGACUUGGAUGAACAGUGACUGUUUUUGGAGAUGGCGGCUGGGGAAGAGAGAAAGACAAAUAUGAAUUUAGGGUUUCUUGGUUUUUAUCAUGGUGGUCCCUAUGGUUCCAUAAGUUUUCAUUUGGGCAGAAAAGUUUUUAAUGUUUUGCGUUUAAAUCCAAAAAACAGUUUUGGGUUUAAUGAAUCCUAGUUUUAGGCCCAAUUUCAAUUGGGCUUAAUGGAUUAAAAUGCAUAGAUAAAAUUAAAUACAUUAAAUUUAUUUUUGGUCCAAAAGUUUUAUUUAAUUAUUUAUUUAUUUCCUUUCAAAAUUAAAAUUGGACCAAUUAUAAAUUUAAAAGCUCAAUUUCCCCUAGUCCAUCAACAAAGACAAGCUUAUGGAAGACGAACAUUGACAAGAAGCCCAAUGAAGAUUAGGCUUAGGGUUAAUGUAUUUUUCAUUAUUAGGAAAGCCAUGAAUUAAGAUUAAUUAAUUGUUUUUCUAUAUGUUAUGUUUUGGAUGAUAACAUGCCAUGAUAACAUGUCAUAUAAAAUAGGUAGUGCCACUCUAUGCAUAAUCAUACAUGUCAUUCAUUAAUUAUGAAUUUCAUUAUAUUGUUUGAAAUUUGCCUAUGCUUAAUAAUAUUGGAUAUCAUCUAGAUAAUAUUAUAGGAAGCAUGCAAUUAACAAUAUGUAUGUUUUAAAAAGGAAAAAUCAAUUUUAAAAUAUUGAGUGGGAGAGGGAAAAUUUAAGAUAAUUUUUCCCACGGGCUCCAUUGUUAGUUCAAUAAUAAAAUUAUAUAUAUACCUCGACUUCAUGAUACGGUGAUGCUCCCUACGGAGGGUAUAUAUAUUAGAUAUUUUAUUUGAUGAACUUCUUCAAAGAUAAAAUUGAAAUAUUUUUCAAUCAAUUGUUCGCCCCAACGGUGACUAUUGAUAUGAAAAAUACGUAGAUUGAAACAAUGGUUAUACACUCAACUAAAAUUUGUUAUUAACCUUCCCAACGAAGCUCUGUUAACAAAUUUAGGCUCAGAAUGAUAACGAUAAUUAUUUAUCAUGUCUCUACAUGAAAGUAAAUAAUCUAAUGGAUAAUUGGGUCUAGUAAGUGUAGACAUGACUUCCCCAACGGAUAGCUUGUCAAAGCGGUACUAGAUUAUCGUUACAAUAAAUUAAAAUGCAUUUAUGAUUUUUUGCAUUUUUGUCAUUUAUUGUGAAUAUUGUUUCUAAAUAUUUAUGCAUGUGUAUUUUGUUUUUUUUUUUCAGUAAAUGUCUUCCAUCAACCCAUUAUUAAUUAUCCUUGUUAAAAAUGAACUCACUGGCGAAAAUUAUUUAGAUUGGAAACGCAAUCUAUUUAAUAUUCUCACUGCUAAGGGAAGCAAAUAUGUGUUGACCCAGCCUUGCCCUCCUGAACCAUCGUUAUACGAUUAUAGAAAUCAGAAAGAGCCUUAUGAGAAAUGGUGCGAAGCUAACAAAAUGGCUAAGCGCUAUAUAUUGGCUUCGAUUUCUGUGGAACUGCAUAAGAAACAUCGGAGCAUGGAAACAGCCACUGAAAUUAUGGCUAGUCUUCAUCAGAUGUUUGGGCAAAAUACCCAUUUUGCCAGAGAAGCAGCAUUAAAACGUAUUACGGAUACUAAGAUGGAAGAUGGCACAAAAGUUCGUGAUCAUAUCCUCAAAAUGAUGGACUAUUUGAAUGAGGUAGAGAUUCAUGGUGUACAAAUCAAUGAUAAAUCAAAGAUUAACAUGGUGAUUGAAUCUUUACCUGAUACAUUCAAAGAGUUUAAGGUCAGCUAUAUCUUAAACAAUAAAGAUAUGACCUUAAUUGAAUUAAUGCACGAACUACAUGCUAUAGAAGAAUUUUAUCAUAGCAGAAAACUUCCUGAAAAAGAAUUCUCUUCAAGGCUUAAGUCGAAAGACAAGAAUGAGCAAGCAAGAGUUGGGAUCGGCAAACUGUCCACCAAAAGAAGUGGCAAGCCAAAAGGCAAGUGUUACAAAUGUGGACAGAAGGGUCACUGGAAGAAAGAUUGUCCUAAGAUUAUUAAAAUCAGGUAUAGGAAAUCUUUAAGCUUCCUAAUUAGUUCAGAUUUCUAUUGAUUCAUACAAUAAUGAAUUCUGAGAUAACUAAUCUUAUUUGUAAUUCAUUUAUUUGGUUUUCAGGAAACCAAGAGAUUAAGUGAAGAAAGCUUCAAAUAGCAGUUGAGGACAUGCUAGUUUAUAUCAAUUGAAAGACUAGAUCAAUUUUACAAGACUUUAGUUUUGAUAUUUGUCUUUAUUUUUCCAAAUAUUAGAGGAAUUUAAUUUCGGUGGCUUGUUUUAAUAAACAGGAGUACAUUGUUAUUUUUGGAUCCUCUGUUUAUUACUUAUUUUGGUUAUUUAUAAAGACAAUUUAUAUCAUAGAAGUACAUUGAUCUAUUCAAAGAAGAUAUAAUGAUAAAAAGUAUAUGCAUUUAUCUAAGAAAAGAAAUGUUUCUUCUAACCAAAAAUCACCUCUGAUAUUUAUGCUUAAGUCGUAUAAAUUAUAAUAAGAUUUUAAGAAAAUGAUUAAUGAUAGACUUGUUGGCCUAUUAAGAUUGAUCAUUGUAACUCUAUGAAUCUUAUUUAGAAAAGUAAUAUGACAAAGAUGCUCUUUUUGAGCUAAAAGCAUAACAUUGUAUUUGAUGAUUUAGCGCAUACAAAUGUAUACAGACUAAUCAGUUUACAUGUUAUAAGAGGUUAUGAGUAUUCUAUCAAUCUUGUUGAUGAAUAUUCAUUUUAUUUAUGUUUGUCUAAAUGCGUCAUGAUUCCAUUGCUUUUGAAAUUCAAAAGAGUACGUGGAUAAGAUAGAAGCAAUUAGACAGGAACAUAAAAGAACUUCGAUAUGAUCGAAACAAAGAAUAUCUCUAUGGAGAAUUCAAGCACUAUUUGGUUGUCAAUGAACACUAUGAUACAAUAGUGUAAUUAAAUGGAGAAACAAGAUUCUUUUGGAUAAGACAAGAUAUAUACUAAGUGGUUUAUCAUUUACCUUUUUGAUUCCAGAUACUAGUAUUUAAAACUACAAAGUUUAUUGAACUUAGUUUCAUCUAUCUCGGUGUCUACUACUCCAAGAAAUUAUGAAAAAGUCACAAACAUGGUUUGAGACACAUUCGUAUUUGGAGUUUACUAGUAUUUCUACUAGAAUAAAAGAUAGAGAAGAUGGAUUCGUGUUUAGAAGCUUGCAUGUUUUAGGUAUCUUAAAAGAAUAAGAGAAAGUCUGAAUUAUAGUUCUCAAGAUAGGAAUGUAUUUAUAGAAUUAUUUUUUACUUUCUUUGAGGAAGACUAUAUAAUGACUUAUAACCUAAGAGUAAGGUAAAACUAGAGAAAUAAAAGAGAUCAGGUUGAUGCUCAGCUUUCAACAUCUGUUAUAGAACAGGAAGAACAGCAACAACCAGCUGAUCAGCACAAGAUUAUCCUUGAACAACUAUCAUUUUUAGAACCUCGUCGUAGUGGGAGGGUAACUAGGUUACCUGCGAGAUACAUGUUUUUGGGAGAAACCUAUAUGGCUAUCUCAGAUGAACAUGUACAAGAUCCCACUAGUUACAACGAAGCUUUAAUAGAUAAAGAUAUUGAAUUUUGGAAAAAGGCCAUGAAUCAAGAAAUGGAAUCUAUGUAUUCCAAUAAAGUCUGGGAACUUGUAGAGGCACCAAAUGGGGUAAAACCUAUAGGGUGCAAGUAGAUCUACAAAAGAAAAAGAGGAGUAGACGGAAGGGUGGAAACAUUUAAAGCAAGAUUAGUAGCCGAAGGGUUUACUCAGAAAGAAGGAAUCGAUUAUGAGCAAACCUUUUCUUCGGUUGCUAUGCUUAAAUCCAUCAGGAUUAUACUCUCCAUUGCUGCAGUGCUAGAUUAUGAAAUUUGGCAAAUGGAUGUCAAGACUGCCUUUCUUAACGGGCAUCUUGAAGAAAACAUCUACAUGCAGCAACCAGAUGGAUUUAUACAAAAAGGCCAAGAACACAUGGUAUGUAAGUUGCAGAGAUCCAUUUAUGGAUUGAAGCAAGCAUCCCGGUCAUGGAACAUCAUAUUUGAUCAAGCGAUUAAAUCGCUUGGAUUCAUUAGAGCGUUGAUGAACCAUGUGUGUACAAGAAAAUUCAGGGAAAUUUUGUAGCCUUCCUAGUUCUUUGUGUAGAUAAUAUUCUCCUGAUUGGAAACGAUAUAGGAGUAUUGACUACAAUAAAGAUUUGGUUAGCAAAACAAUUUGAUAUGAAAGACCUGUGAGAGACAAGUUAUAUUCUUGGUAUCAAGUUACUACGAGACCAGAAGAAUAAAACUUUAGCCUUGUCUCAAGCGGUCUAUAUCGAUAAGAUAUUGGCUAGAUUUAGCAUGGAAAAUUCCAAGAUUGGUUUAUUACCAUUCAGACAUGGAAUUACAUUCUCUAAGGAUCAAUCACCUAAAACAUUGUGCAGAAGCUGUGGGAAGUCUCAUGUAUGCCAUGUUUUGCACUAGGCCAGACAUCUAUUUUGCGGUAAGGAUGGUUAGCAGAUAUCAAUUUAAUCCUGAACCUCAAUACUGGACUGCAGUCAAGCAUAUUAUAAAGUAUCUGAAAAGAACUAAAAAUUAUAUGCUUAUGUAUUUUGGUGAUGAACUCUUUCCAGUGAGUUAUACUGAUUCUGACUUUAUGUCAGAUAGGGAUUCCAGAAAAUCUACUUCUGGCUAUGUGUUUGCAUUGGGAAGUGGAGCUAUUAGUUGGAGGAGUGUGAAACAAUCUUGUAUCGCAGACUCCACAACUGAAGCUGAAAAUGUGGCUGCAUCCGAAGCUGCAAAAGAAGCUGUAUGGCUCCGCAAGUUCCUACAAGAUCUUGAGGUGGUACCUGCUGUUACUGCACCCCUUAAACUAUUUUACGAUAAUGGUGGUGCAGUAGCUCAAUCUAAGGAACCAAGGAACCACAAGAAACAAAACAUAUUGAGAGGAAGUAUAAUCUCAUAAGGGAAUAGUAUAGAAAGGUUAUAUGACAGUACCCCAAAUGGCAUUAGAUGCUAAAUGGCAGAUCUUAUUACAAUGGCCAUUAGUGGGAAACCUUUAUAACCUGCACUUAGAGCCCUAGAGCAUGUGCAAUAUGCCAAAUAUGCUUUGAGAGCUAGUGGGAGAUUGUUGGGAAAAUAUGCUCUUUAAAAGCAUAUGUGUUUAUUUUAUUGUAAUAAACAAUUUUUCUGAUUAAUAAAAUAAAAGAGGUAUUUUAUUCAAAUAUCUUAAUUGCAUUAAUAUUUGUAUUAAAGUCCAUUUAAUCAUAUUAUAUGUAUUUAUGUGAUCACCAUGUGGAUUCACAGAAGACAUAAAUACAAGUUAUCUUAUGAUUAAAUAAAUUUAGUUCGCAGUUGAUAAAUAAAGUUGGGCACUUUAUUUAGGUAUAGACUGUAAUAAAUUCAUUGAAUGAUUUGUCUUAAUCAUGUAUGAAUUUAUUGAUGUAGUACGACUACAUUGAACAGGAUCACAUAUGAGAUUUAAUUAACUUUGUAAUAACUGUCAGACAUAUUAAAUCUCAUAGGCAUUGAUUUUACUGUAAUCUUAAUCUUGAGUUAAUUAUGAUUUCAUGAUUGUAAUUGUUAUUCCAUUUGAGUUACCAAUGGGCACGACACAUCCUUGUGGUCAAUAUUACCCGGUAUCUUGGUGGGAGCAAUUAUGAGUAUUGGAGUUAUGGAUUAACAAUAUAGAAUUUGUACAACACAUCUCUUGAUGGGUUUUCGGCACUUGAUCAUAUAAUUCUCUGGCCAGAGUGUGUCAACAUAUUUAGUAUGUUGAAAAUGAUCAUUAGAGAAAACCAGUAAGGAUCAAGGAAUAAGAUGUUAUUAAAUUGAUUGGACAGUUGAGAUAUCAAUUUAAUUAACGAUGUGGUACAAAGGAUUGUGCAGUAAAGAAAUCAAUGUGGCUUGGGACAAGUUAUUAUUCGAGCAUACAAUUAUGGAAGUCAGUUCCAAUCUUUUAGUGGAGUAGAUUUGGAAUUAAAUAAUUAGGCUAGUUUAAUUAUAGGCCUAAUUAUUGUAGCCACUAUUGUAUGUUCCCAAAUGAUCCCUGGGUUAGCUCAUUUAAUUGACUGCACCACUACUGGACUAAUAAGUAACAUAACUAGCUAUUUGGGUCAAAAGCCUAAAUAUAUCAUUUAGUGGGAGGCUCCAUUUAAUUAGCUUUUGUGUAAGGGGCCUUAUGUUAUUUUACAAGGUGGGUCCCCUAUUGAAAAAGCAAAUAUCGUGGGUUUUAUUUUUUGGGAUUAUUUGGAGCCUAGGGUUUUCACUAAAGGGUGAUAUAAAAGGCUUAUUUUCUCUAUAAAAAAAAAAACCACUUUAUACAGAUCAGAGAAUAAGAUUUUUCUCUCUAUUAUUGAGAGAAAAAUUUUCUCGUGCUAGUUGCUUUGGUAGUGAUAAAGGCGCCCACACGUCAAGUGCAGAUCGAACCUGAGUCAUAACCUGGAAGAUCAUUGGUGACAGUUUGUGAUCUAACAAGCGUGGUGGUGACGGAUCGUGAUCUAAUAGGAGUAGUGGUGGUGGAUCGUGAUCUAGGAGCCUAAAUCACUUCAGCUGAAAAAGCCAACUCAGAUUUUCAAGGUACGAUUUCUAGAAUACAAAUUCUUAUAUACUAUAUGAGAGCGAUCUUCAAAAGGUUUUAUAAAAAUUUUAAAAACCUAAUUUUUCCCUAACAUACAGUUCUUUCUUCAUUCAUAUAUAUGACGCUUAAUUACCUUUGUUAUCUCUUUUGGCAUUUCUUACUUGACUAUAAACUUAGUUAUAGCAUUCUGUGAUCUAGAGAUUAAGGGCCAGAACUUGAUGGUGCCAUGUUAGACUAGUGUAUGAGGUUUGUUCAUGCAUUAAUAAUUGAUCUUGAUGUAGGCCAUUUUUUUUUUUGUAAAAGCUAAAGAAAGUUAAGUUUUAGAAGACCAUUACUUCUUUAAACCUAGUAAGCUUAUAAGUUUCUCUUCUUUUGGGUUUUGUAGAAUUAUUCAUUUUCUCCUUAAUUCCCUUUAUCAUGCCCUGCCAUAACUCAAAAAUUAUCUGCUAUGACAGAGCCUGAUGGAUAUUAUUGCUUAAAAAUAAUACUACUACUAAGAAUAAUUGAUAGAUGAUCAAUCACCAUUGCUUAAUCAAGAAGUAACACGAGAACGUCAAGAUUGAGUAAAAAGAAAAAGAUUAAACACAACAAAAUGAUAAAUUUCAAAAAGGUCACAACAGAACAAAACAUAAGAAGGAACAUUAAUUGACUUGACUCUUCUUAAAAUGAGUGUAUCUUGAAUGAAAAAAAGAAUCGUAUGUCAUCUAAACAAAAAUCCUACAGUUACUAAACAUAUAAAGAGUCCAUACAAUCACUCUUAACGCAAGUUAUUUACACUAGAAUGCUUUGACUUUCAUUGACCAGAGCUGAACUUGAUCAAAUUAGGGAGUCAGAGAGUUUCGAAUAUUGACUCAUUAUAUUGUAAAGUCCUUGAGUAUUUCUAUUGGUCUGCGUCUUUUUCUCUUAUAUAGGAAGCUUUGCUUUUGAUUGUUAAAAUUAAUUCGAUGGUUUUGCAGUGAUGACAAUUUCAUUUCCUCAAUAUCAUACUCAAAAGUUUUUGAAUAUCUCAUCCCGACAUUGGUUGCUGUUAUGAGUGUGAAUGUGCAAGGCACAACUAGGCCGUUGAUAGAAACUCAUAGAGUAAGCUUAUGUGUUUCUCUGGUGGCCAUAAUUAUCCACUACAUUGCAUUUGUUGUCGAUAACAUGCCUCAACACUACCAAGCAAAAUCUCCACACCUAUGGGGCCUCAUCGCAGUUAUUUUUUUAUCUUUUUCAGUAGUGUCGUUGGUCGCCACAUUUUUCACACAGUCGGUUGCCGAAAUCAUUUGCUAUGUUGCAUUGAGCUGCACUGCUAUUAUCAUAGUUGUGUACCAAUAUGGCACAAAGCUUAUGGAUGCUUGUCAUUGGCUUUACCACGAAAUUUUGAGGCCAUUUUUUUGCAACAUCUUGAAUUGGUUUCAAGCCCAUAAUAACAACUUCUCUUCAACGGAACAACAACAACGGCCGUUAGUGUAAUUGAAGCAGUUUAAUCUUUAUUUUAAAAUUUCAUCCAAGACUUUUUACUUACAGAUUUCACUUAUGUUUCCAGAUUUCAAUAGAUCAAAAAAUAUACUCAAAAUGUAUAGUUUUUCAUUCAAUAAUAUAUAUGUUAUUAUUGACUUUUAUUCACAUAAAAAAUAUUUUUAUUUUUAUUUUUAUUUAUAUGAUUUAUUUAAUCUAGAAUGGAUAUGAAUAAAUAUGCAUUUGAAAUGUUAGGAGUUAUUAGCUAUUAUAAAAAUAAUAGGGAGUAAGUAGAUACAAUCUUUCAAAAGAAAAUUUUAAUAUUUAUUAUUGGGAUAUUAUUAUUUUCUUACCAAAAUUUUUCUGACAUAUCAAGUCAGUACCAUGCUUUAGUAAAAACUGCAUUUUACCACCAAACGUUUAAUUUGUUAUCACUUUAAUAUCUUUCCAUUAAAAAUAAGUUAAUAUUUAACGGAAUAUGAGUUAAAAGAUGAUUUUGUCCAUGGAGCAUUAAAGACGAUUUUGGCCAUGGAAAAGAAAGAAAUAACAAAAAAGAAAACUACAAAAUUAGUCUAGCAAGUAUCCAUUAAUUAAAAAUAUCUCGCAUAAGAUUUUUUGAGAAUUAAGAUGGUAAUACAAAUGAAAAAAGAAUCUGGCAAUGACAAACUUACACACAAGUAUUAAAAAGACAGAAACAUAUUAAAUACUUCUGCUAGAUAUUAUAACAAACUAAACUCCAAUCUUUAAAGCCACACCUACGUAAAAGGCUAAAGAGAGAACGCCAUAUAAACAGAUUCAGAUCAAACAAACCUAUGAAGCGAAAAAAGAAAAGAAAAGAAAAACAAAAACAAACAGGGCCACAUUGGGUUGAUUUUAGAGAAUCAGCCAGGAAUAAUAGAGCAAAUACAAUCAAGUUGUUUGUUAGAGUCCAUCUCCAUAGGCACAUUCCCGUUAUUGUUGUUAUUAGCCUCCUUCUCUCUGUCAUCUCUCAGCCUCUUCACCGGCAAAUAACUAGCAGUAACAGACCCAAUUUCCACCAUAGCAUAUAUUAUUAUUUAUUAUUCUCUCUGCUUUCAAACCCCUAAAAACCAACAACCACUUCACUUUUAUUAAAAACUAAUUGCCGAGUCAGCUCUUGAGAGUCAAGAGCCACCACGCAAACACAAUCUUGGUCCCUCUUUGCUGUAUAUGUAGAAAAAAAAGCAAGCAGCAAGUGGUGGGAGAAUAUAUAUAAUAGUUACAAAUCUUUUAUCAAAAAAAAAAAAAAAGAGAAAAGAAAAGUUACAAAUUUGGCUUUGCAAAGAUGCGGCUCCUGUGUGUGUUUGUAUUUUGUUUGUUGAUAUUUGUGCUUGGUUGACCGUGAGAGAGAGAGGGGUCGUGAGAGAGAAAGAGAUCGGAGAUGGAGGGUUACGAUUUUUUUACUUUUUUUAAUUAUUUACCAGGCAUAUGUUGCAAGACUAAAUGUUUAUUUUACAAAUUACCAGCAUUUUGACUUUAGCCGGAAAUUUAGUAAAUGUCGUUGUGCAUUAGUAAAUUUUUAACCACAUUAAUAGAAUGGUGGUAAAAUAAUAACAAAUUAAAUAUUUGAUAGUAAAAUAUAAUUUCUAUCAAAAUAUAAUACUAACUUGAUAUGUCAAAAAAAUUUUAGUAGAAAAAUAAUAGUAUUUCUUUUUUAUUUGAUAUUUUUUAAGAUGGUUAAAUUUAUUUACUUAAAACUCUUAAAUUCUGUUAGUAAAUAUAUCCACCGCAAUCUCAUUUAAAAAAAAAAAGUUGAAUCACCAAUAAAAUUGGAAAAUGUAUCAUGACGUUAUUAAUGUCAAAAACUUUUGACUCUACUAACGUACUGAACUAAUUAUACAUCUAAAUGUAAAGAAAUUAGCAAAGAAUAAAAAAUAUUUUGAAAUUUCAGAAUACUUGAAAUUUGGAAAAAAAAAAAAAAAAAGCCAAAUUUCAGUAGCUCUCGGCCCCGCACUUUCGGGGUAAAAAAUUAAAAUAAAAUAAAACAUGUCAGCCUUCUCUCUCACUAUCAGUCGAAGAAGCAUUCUCACAAUCAUUUGAAAUUCUAUAAUCUCAGUUUCAAUGAAGACGAAGAGGCUUGGUUUAAAUCUCGGCUUUCAUCAUGCAAUUUCAGGUUUAGUUUCAGUUAAUCUGACCAAAUUUGAUGGAUUUGUUCCCUAAUUUCAUGAAUGUCAGCUCUCACAUUCAUUCGAUCGAAGAAGCUUUCACUUUCGUUUGAAAUUUUUGAUCUCGAUCGGUUUCACUGCAAAAGAAGAGGUUUGGUUUUAAUCUCGCUUUUAUUCAAGAAUUUCAUGUUUGUAUGCGUUUAAUCGCACCAAAGUUGAUGUGUUUCUCCUCUAAUUUAUCGUUAGGGAUCUAAUUUAUGUCUCUUGAUUUAAAAAUUUAGGUUUGGGCUUUAAUUAUUUGAUUAUUAAUUUGAUAUGAAUGAAUUUAGAUAAGAAGAAGUAGGAGUCAAAGAAGUAGAAGUCGAAGAAGUUAAGAAAGGAAGGAAGAGUUCUUUUGCUGAAAAUCCGUUUCCCAUUAUCUAGAUGCUUUUGGCUAUUUAUAGCCUUACAAACGUGACAGAUAAUGUAGCAAAACAACUGCAACAACAAGGCAAAAUAAUUGGAAACAAACAUGUAACCAUGCUACCACUUAUGCUUAAGUUAAGCAGCCUAUUUGUCUAACUACCAAACUAAGUUGACUAAGUCUACCGUCUUGACCAUCUCAACAAAUAUGACUAUAUCUGCUUUAUCAUCAAUGCCGCUUUUGGCUACCCACGAACAUAUUGCAUGCAUGCAUAAUUUGCACGUAUCAUUUCCCCCCCUCUUCAAGGAUCCUUGUCCACAAGGUUGAAGUGCCCCAUUUACUUAACCAGUAUAUGGUGAUGUGAAUGGUGGAGGAUCUUCAAUCAUGAACAGCUGUGGCCUUUGGCAGUGAUGACCAGGAAUGAAUUUCUCGUCACAAAAAUAACAUAGCCCUUUUUCACGUCGAGCCCGUGCUUCUUGGUUAGUCAACCGCCGGAUAGGAGGAGGAGUGUUGGCAUUGGCUGUUUGGUUUGCCUUAUGAGGGGGGCCCAAGAUCCCAGCAGAACUAUUUGAGAUUGGUGGUUGCAUCACGGAAAUAGGUGGUGGUUGAGAAAAGUGUUUGGUGCCGCGGAAGAGAGAAUUUCGCUCCUCAAUUAGUCUUGCCACACCAAUGGCGUUAGCCAAGGUACGAGGUUGUUUAAUCUUGACAUCGAGUCGUAUUUCAUCCUGAAGACCUGCGAUGAAACAACCAAUUAAAAAUGUUUCAGGUAAACCAUCGACUUGAUGAGAAAGCUUUUCAAAAACUUCCUGAUACUCAGCCACUGAGGAAAUUUGUUUUAAGCGUGUUAAAGCUUCAGAAGGAUCCUCAUAAUCCGUUGGACCAAAAUGGAGUAAUAUGGCUUUGGUAAAUUCAGUCCAAGUUUGUGGUCCUUUGAAUUUGGUUAGCCAGCGAUGCCAUUGGAGUGCUAUUCCUUCGAGAUGGAAAGAGGCCAAUUUGACUUGCUGUUCUGAAGCAAUGCUUUGGAAAUCAAAGUAUUGUUCAGCUUUGUAAAUCCAUCUGAUAGGGUCAUCACCGCUAAACUGUGGAAAAGAAAGUUUGAGCUGGGCAUGGGACCGAUCUGGUUUGGAGGUGGAAAGUGAGGUUGGCUGGUGUGAAGGGAUGUGAGUUGUGGCAAAUGGGUUGAUCUCCCUUUCCUGGGAAGUGUGUUGGACACGCAAAGAUUGAAGUUCAGUAAGAAUUGUUUGAAGGGUGGCGUGAAUUUGGUCAAAAUUAGACUCAUGUCUAGCAAGGAUUUCUUGAACCUCUUCACGAAAUUCAGCAUUGGAUUUAUUGCGUGUGGCCAUGGAUCAUUGGAUGCUCUGAUACCACUGAUAUGAAUGAAUUUAGAUAAGAAGAAGUAGGAGUCAAAGAAGUAGAAGUCAAAGAAGUUAAGAAAGGAAGGAAGAGUUCUUUUGCUGAAAAUCUGUUUCCCAUUAUCUAGAUGCUUUUGGCUAUUUAUAGCCUUACAAACGUGACAGAUAAUGUAGCAAAACAACUGCAACAACAAGGCAAAAUAAUCGGAAACAAACAUGUAACCAUGCUACCACUUAUGCUUAAGUUAAGCAGCCUAUUUGUCUAACUACCAAACUAAGUUGACUAAGUCUACCAUCUUGACCAUCUCAACAAAUAUGACUAUAUCUGCUUUAUCAUCAAUGCCGCUUUUGGCUACCCACGAACAUAUUGCAUGCAUGCAUAAUUUGCACGUAUCAUAAUUUUGUAGCGUUUGGAUACUGUUGAAGAGAGUGAAUUAAUCCACAUUAAAUAUGUAUUGGAACUAUUAGGCUGAAACCAGAUGGCUUAUGUUUACUAAGCAAUACAAGAAUUGAGUUAUAAUUAGGUCUGCUUAUGUUUUGCUGAAACUAGAUGGGUUCUGUUUACUAACUUAUCUGUAUUAUUAUCUUUUUUAAGUCAUUCUUUAAGCUAAAUUAGGGUAUUAGAAACAGAGCUAGGAAAGAAAUUAGUACCUGCAUUCAGUAUUGCAAGCUAAUUGCUAGUGCUACUUCAGGUAUAUUGACUGAACAAUCAACACCCGGUUUAUGAUACAUGCAUUUAUAUCACACUAUACUUUAAUGAACAAACAUUUUUCUGCCUCUAAAUUUCACAUAUUUGGUGCCAGAAUGGAAAACAAAUAGUCCAAGAAGGUGUAUUAAUUGCCUUGGCAUCAGUUGCUGACUCAUCUCAGGUAUUCUAUAAAAUAUGCUUUGAUUAGAAGUUAUUUCUUAUAGAAACCUGUCUGACAGGAUGAUUUUUUUGUAGUAGCUGCUCCGAUGGAAACUUCUUUUAAAAGUGAAAAAAAGGGGGAAGCAAAGUAUAUGUUGAACUAAAAGAAAGGUAUCUACAAAGGUGAACAAUCUGUCAGUACUUUUGAUACGAGCUUCUGCAUUUGAUGUUCUCUUUUUCUUUUUCUUUUUUGUGGUUAGUUGAAAAGAAUAUUUCUAGAUGCAUAUAAUGCUCUUUCCUGUCUGUUCACCAAAUAUUUAAUUAAUUUUGAAGGCUGAAGAUUUAAUUAACGAGCAACCAGAAGGAGUCCAUCCCUGUAUUGAUUACCACAACAGCUGUUGGUUGCCGUGGUUUGUUUUUAGCACGAAAACUUUAAAUUUUGAGUUUCAUUUUACCCAAAAACCUCAAUUUCAAUGUUUUCAGACCAACCAUCCAUUCUGCACUCUAAAUCAGAAAACAUAUGAUCAGUAAUGAACUUAGAGUCAGGUCCAGCUUAAGGUAGUAACGGAUUCAGUCUUCUGAUUCUGCCAUUCAAGUUUUCUUGAUAAGUUUACUUCCCCCCCCCCCCCCCCUUCAAAGUGUAACUAACUUUCUUUAAAUUCCACUUUCUUCAAUGCUCAGGAACUAUUGAAUCCAAAGUAUUUGAUGAGAGCAGCUCAUCGGGAAAUCAUUAUUUGGCUGAGGUAAGAGCCUGAUUUUUAUAAACACUGCACAAAAAAAAGAUCUUUUUGCUGCUGAAAUUUAAUUCUCAGCAAAUACAUCAUUCUUGCGGAUGACUUAUAGGGAUUUUAAAAUAGUCACAACGUAUAUAUAGAUUUUAAAAUGUAACUAAUUAAUUAGCCACAAGAAAGUUGUUUUAUCAGACUAAAUUCAUAUUAUUUUUAAAAUUCAAAAAUCAUCAUAAAAAAUCUCUCUCUCCCUCUCUUACUCUCAAGUCUUGCUCAAUACUUCACCUCCCAGCCCUGCUCGAUGGUAAUUUAUUGAUUUCAGUUUUAGGUAAGCUCUGUCACUGUAAACUUUGGGUGAUGUGAAUUUUUGUUACUGCAUAGAUUUUAAUAGGUCAAAUUGAAGGGGAGAAAGUUGCUGAUCGUAAAGCUGAUUCUGAAAGCACUUCUUCACUUUUUGAGUAUGAUUUUACAGAUUCAGUAUGUAAUUGAAGUUUUAAAGCAAUGAUUUUGAAUGAUUUAGAAUAUUUAGAUGACUGGUUUAAAUUAACCCAUCAAAGUCGUUGUUUAUACACGUGCACCAUCAUAGGAACAUCUAUUGGAGGAUAGAUUUUUACUUUUUAUCCUUCUUUUCUAUUUUAAAUAUAUAUGUGCGUGUGUGUGAAAAUAUAGGAAAAUUCUCAUGUGUGGAUAUCGGCACAAACUCCAUGAAUUUUCAUGCGGAUUUAGGUGGUGAAAGCCUUUUACACCGGCACAAAACCCCAAGUCUGCACAAAAAUACGUGCGAGCAUUUUAUAUAUAUAUAUAUAUAUAUAUGGCGAGGAGACUGGAUGAGGAAUACAACUCGUUGAAGGAAGGACAACAAAAGCUCAGAUAUGGCACACUGCAGGUCAGGAGGGAUACAGAGCAAUAACCAGUGCCUAUUAAAGGGGCGCGCUUGGAGUGCUCUUUUAGUUUAUGAUGUGACAAAAUCAACAACAUUUGAAAACGUGAGCCGGUGGCUGAAGUAUCUGAGGGACAACUCCAACAUUGUGAUCAUUAUGAUCGGCAAGGGGACUGAUGUGAAGCACCUCCCAACUUCUACGUCAAUUUUUUUAGACUCUCAAUGGAUUAUUGUUUAAACUUGUUUUUAUUUAAUUUUUGUUAACAAUGUUAUAUUUGAAUUAUCCUCCUUAAUUGUUGUUGAGAUAUCAGAAUUAUUUUGUUAUUGUAAGAAAUAAUUCAAUGGGCCACUCCAAUUCUCAGCCCAAUAUGCAGCUUGUUAACCAAAACAAAGAAGCCCAGCACUGUGCUAUUGUCUCCUUCAUUGAAGAGACCUGUCACAGAGUACUUCUGCAUUCAUAGUACAGUGCACAGCGAAAUAUUGUAAACCAUUUGAUGCUAGGGUUACACAAAUCUAUGGCUAGAUUAACAGUUUAGGUUACUUGGAGAGCACAAGCAAAGGCCUGUCAUUAUCUCAACAUUCAAAAUUCUAACUGUUAUGGCCGUGUGUGCCAGCCAUGUUACAGCUUACGAUUUACAUUUUCUUUUCUAAUUUGUAUUUAUUAAUUUUUUUCUUAUAAGAUGGGUAUUUUCCUUGUGUGUUUGCCGAAGUCUUGAACAAUUUAUGUUUACCAAUUUCAAUUAAUAUCUUUUAUGAUACAAAAGUCUCUGUCAAUUUAGAUAUUUUGUUUACACAGUUCUUUAGCAAGUUUUUUUUGACGUUGCAUUCCAAAAAUUAAAUUAAAAGAAAUUAUGUUAAUUGUAAUAUUAAUAAAGAUAUGUAGAUUGAUUAUUGGAUGCGAUGCGACAAUGCGCAAUUUAAAAAUUGAAAUAUUACAAAAGCACAAAUUUUGAUGUGUGAAUGAAAUGAAAUUAGCGGUACUUAUAUGAUCUACGUAUAUAAGAGAUAAUUUAUAAUAAGUCUUCUUCUAAGUAGGUGUGAGGAAGACCUUAUCUUUUAGAAUGUUGACCAAAUCAAAAGGACAGAAAAUCAAUCCUAAUUUGCUAAAAGAUAAUAUAUAUAUAUAUAUUAUAUAUUAAAAUAUGUGUUUUCAUAUAUAUUUUUUGGAAAAUAUCCAUCGUUCACCAGUUUUUUCUAACUUUUUCAAAAAUACACAAUUCUUUUUUUUUACUGAAAUCCACCUAAAGUUACACUUUGUUUUACUUUUCCACUUCCGUUUGGAAUGCGUUAAGAAAACUAACGGAAACUUAAAAAAUGACAAUUUUACCCCCAAAACGAAAAUUACAAUUUCACCUUAAAAAGUGCAAAAAAUAAUCAGAUUUAAUAAUAAAUAUCAUUAUUGGUACGUUAAUAAAGUGUAAAAAAAUCUUAACUACUAGAGAUUAUAACUCAAUAAAUAAUAAAACUCUACUUAUUUUAAUUUAAUUGAUAGUUUGCGAAAUUGGGCUAUUUUUAAUACUAUUAUUAUAAUUUAGCAUUCUAAUUACAGAUGUAUUUAAAAAAAAUGCAUUUGAUGGUUGUGGAAUUAAUUUAUUUAUUAACCGAUCGGGAAAAUAUUUAGAUUUAAUUUGAUUAUUUUUGGUAAUUUUUAGGGUGAAAUUGUUAUUUUUGUUUUGGGGGGGUACAAUGGUCAUUUUUUUAAGUUUCCGUUAGUUUUCUUAACUGAUUCCAAACAGAAGUGGAAAAGUGAAACAAAAUGUAACUUUAGGUGGAUUUCAGCAAAAAAAAAAGAAUUGUGUAUUGUUUAAAAAGUUGGAAAAAACGGAUGGACGGUGGAUAUUUUCCCUAUAUUUUUUAAUUUUGUUCUUAUAUUAAUAAAAUGAGGACUUCCUCAUUAGGAAAUUAUUCAAUUUAUAAUAAACCAAAAAAUUGUCAUAAUUUACACAAAUUAAAGCAUUGCAUUUGCAUAAUUUCAUCAAACUUGCAUAAAUUCAAUUAAUAUUAUUCACAAUCUUACGAGACGAACAAAAAAAAGAAAAGAAAACAAAAAUUAUAUUAAAAAAUAGUUACUAAUAAUGGAAAAUAAAAUGGUUAUACCUUGCAAUUGAUGCAGCAUAUUCAGCAUUCACACCCGUUACGUUUAAGAAAUAAAUUGAGUAAAUUUGAGACCCAACGCAUCCUUAGAUUCCCAUUAUGCUAGAAGAAGGUGAUUUAAAUGUUGAACAAACUUAAAGAAAAGAAAAGAAAAGAAACAAAACAGCAUCUUGUGACCAUCUUGACUAAAUUUCAUUUUCCUCGCAUUUUCAUCGCUACUAAGCUCCAAUCAAGAAUUACAAAACCAACGGUCCAUCAUUGUCUUUCCCUUUUUUCAGUUAUGCCACCCAUGGAACGAAUCCAUAUUAGUCGGUUACUUUAACUCCUAAGUUGGGUCUAUUGUAUGCUUAAAAGAAGUUAGGAGUUGUGAUAAUUAAGCCUCUCUAUAUAUUUCACCAUCCCUUGCUCCUCAAUUAAAUAUAUAUAAUUACUAAAAUUAUCCUUACUUUUUAAUAAGGAUAAUUAAUAUUUUAAUUUUAAUUUUUCCCCCUCUCAUCAGCUCUCUCGCACAAGCGUCACCAUCAUCCUCACCAUUUAUAUUCAUCACUAUCAAAUCAUUACCGCUUGUAGAAUAUAAUGAGUUGUUGUUGUUGAGUUUUAUCUAAUUUUAUAAGUAAGUGAUGAAUUUUAUUGUACUGAUUGUAUGGAUUUUGAUGUGUGAUGAAUAAAUUAAAAAAAAAAAAAAUCAUAUUACUGGUCGCUAUUAUUUCUCACCUCUUGAAACUUAUCAUUAUCAUAAGAGCCGAACAACAAAAUUAUGAAAAUCUAUUUUUGACUUAAUUUUUUAUUCUCUUGUUUUUAUUGUUUUUUCUUUUUAUGCUUCCUUUGUUCUUGAAUUUAGCUUACAAAAUUAGUGAUCAUGAUACCAUAAAUAUUGAGUUUGCUUCAUUGAAGGAGCAAAGUAGGUUACUCCAAAAAUUAAAAGUUGAAACUAAUAACAGUGCAAACGAGAGGAAAAAAAUUUUGAAUUUACCAUUUUUAUAAUAUUGAUAAAAAGUAUAUAGUCUAAUAGUGUCAUCACUCUUCUUCUUCCGUGAAUUGACUAUUUUUAUAUAGUCUCCCUUACUUUUGAGAACCUUAAUUCACUCUCCAUAUUUGUUAAGAAGCCAAAAAUAAAUAAAUAAAUAAACCGAACCUCAUUUUCCCUUAUCUUUUGACUACAUAUAGGGGUAAUUUUAACACUUUUAAAGGUAAGGGGAAUGAUUGAACAUAAUCAAUUUACGAGGGGUGUAAUCCAAAAUUUAUCCUUAUGUUACUCUGAAAAAAGGAUUUAUACUUUUUUAGUGCAAGUUGUUUUUUUACUAUUUGAAUUUGAUUUUUAAGUGCCAAAUAAUUUUUUUAAUAACUUUUAUGUUUGAUUUUUUUAAAGAGUUAUGCUAUUAGCACCCCCUCAUUUCCUAAUAAAACUCCUUCUUUAGAUUUACAAUUUUAUCCAUGUAUAAAAUUAGAGGAAACCACAUCCAAAUUCAUCUCGUCUUCUGCAAACUUAUUACAACCACACAUUGCAGAUUCAUAUUAUAAAUGAAUUAGAUAAUCGUGAACUUGUGUAUUUGUGCUUUUCUUUUAGCAAUUACUGUUAAAAGUUAAAAAAAAAAUUAUAAAUGGGAAUAUAUACAAAUCCUUUCGUAUAAUAGUGACGUCGAACAAAAUAAAAAUAAAAAUAAAAACUGUAAUAAUGAUAGCAUAUCCAUUGAGUCACGAUCUGUCUUCGUUACUUAUUACGUACGAUUGCAAGUCAAACCAGGUCGGGUUUCGAUGGCAUGACGAGACAAUCAUGAUAUUCAAAACACAAGGCAGCUCAAGUUAUCCGUAGGCUUAUUGGAGUGGAUUCUUGUUUGGAAUAUUUUCAAGUUUCCACGCACUUUAGAUUCGAUGCGCACUAAAUAAAGCCAGGGUUUCGUUACCACAAUUGGCUAUCAAAAUUGAUUUAAUACCAAAUUUACUAUCAAAAUUAAUUUUCCUUCAUUGCUUAAUUUUAACAUAAUUCAUGAUCGUUCCUUUCAUCAUCAUAAUCAUCAACAUCAUUAUUAUCUACUUAAUAAUUGAUCAGACAUUAGAAUUUUUAAGAAUAAAAAGGGUCCCUGCAGAACUUGAGAGUUUUGAGUACGCAACGGUCUCCCUGAACAAUUAAUUUCAAUUAAGAAAGAAGUUGCAUCCCGUUCCAGAUUGUUAUACAUGAAGUAAUAGCCCAAAGGCUAAAGUUCUAGAAAAGAGACUUUGUCUGCUUUCUUUCAAUAGAGAAGUUGUGGUGAUUGACUUUUUAUAGUAGUGAUUUCCUUCCAGGAUUGUCGAGGCUGAUUUGUUUGAAGUAGUAAUCAUAGUUCAUGUUAUCUUAACCUAACCCCAUUAAUACACUCUUUUUCAUUAAUCUUUUUUAAUUUGUGAGUUUUUCGAUCAGAAUUUAUUGAAAUUAACUCUUUACGUGACAUUAACAUCUGACAUGAAUUAGUACUCCAAAAAGAUCUGUAGCUCAGUGCAUGCCAAAAAAAAAUAAAGGAAAAAAAAAUAGAUAUGCGUUUGAAAAUCAGUGUCAAUAAUUUUUUUUUAAUUCACUUCAAGUGUUAUGGUUUUGAAAACAAGUUUCAAUAAUUUUUUUUUAAAUAGAUAUACUUAUGGGUUUGAAAAUAAAUCUUAGAAAAUAGAUAUUCUCUUCAAAUGUUAUGUCGGACACAAUAUAGAUUUUCCUUUCUUUUCAAAAUUUAAUUUAAAACAAAUUGUUGUUAUAAUGCAAAUAUCAAUAGCCACGUUCUCGUUCUUCCUUUUUGUACCAACGGCCGCCACAAGCCAAGAGAUAAUGAUCUGGGCCCCGACCCGAAUGUUAUGUCCUCGUUUUCUCCACACAACUUCGUACACUAUUUAACAGAAAAAGACAUAAAUUCACUAAAAAUAUUUUAAAGUUUAUAGAAAGGUCAUAUUUUAAAAUUCACUAAAAAUAUCAUAAUCCCAUUUCAUCAAAUAUUCUCGCAAUUGCAACCUCCAGUUUUUGAACUUGCCGAGAAUAAAUUCUCUACUGUCCAUAAAUAAAUGUUUGUCUCUUCUGUCGUCAUUUGAUCCUUCGAGUUUUUCAAUAUUAACUUCAAAUAGCAAAAGAAUCUCUUUUGUUUGUUAUGGGAGUGUGACUUGUCGGGCCCAACAAACGGUUUUUUCCCUCAAAGUUCCCUACUUCUAUUUAUGUCCUAGAUCUUAAACCCCUUAAAGCUCAACUCAACUCUGGGACCCUUUAUAUCUCAUAUUAAAGUCAUAAACAAUCACCUUAAAUUUAAAGACAGUACCCCCAACAUAUAUAAAUGUGUAUAUAUGACAAAAAAAUAUCGUCCAAAGAGAUUGCGCGUUCGGGAUUAACUCAAGGUGUACUUUUGAAAAGCGCCCUCUGUCCUUAAAAUCUUGCAUCCCGUUCCACCAGAAAAGAAAGUUCAUGUACCCUUCCUUAAACCCUUUUAUUAUUCUUUUAAUUCUUCACCACUUGCUUGUUUCUCAAUUCAUUUGCUUCAUAUCUUCCUCUUUCACCUGCUUCUUAAUCCAAUGCGAGUAAAUUAAGUAACGUCCCCAACUCUUUUAAAAGUCUUGCUACCUCUUAUUAACUUGCGUACAAUUGUAGUGGAAGGGAGAUUUGUGAACAGGAAGAGAAAGCAGAGUAAUGGAGGUGCGGAGGUUUAUUUUAAGAGAAAGAAAUGGAAGUGCGGCAUAAUAUUUAUUUUAAAGUUUUAUAGAAAGGUCAAAUUGUAAGAGUUUCAUAAUCCAAUUUCAGUUGAAUAUUGUCGCAAUUUUAAUUUCCAAUUUCGUAAAUUGAAAGAGUUUCAUAAAGUUUAUAGAAAAAUAUCACUGAUGUGGAAGGAGAUUCCGUGUUGGGGUGGGCCGCGGUGGGGGUUUGGGGGUUCAACGCUGUAUUUUUCAAGCACCCUCUCCCUCCCCUUUUUCCCACAAUGCCGUUUUCUAGUCUCUCUUUCUCUUUCCUAUAACGCAUGUAUACGGUUAGCUGUCCUGAAAAAUAUUAAUUACCGUUUGUGAGCCGACUUCGAGUUAAUUAACCCUGGGUUAAUUGGUAGGUGAUGUGGUCUUGGCCCGGCCAGGAGUUGAGGCAAUUUAUAGGGACGUGUGUGACUGCGUUUAUUCUAUGGACCUGUCUAUGGUAAGAUUCUGUAACAUACAUCUCCCGUCAUCCCACCAUCCGAUUGUCUAUUGUUUAGUUUCUCACUCCACAUUCAACCACAUCCAACGGCUGAUGCUGCUGUCUGUAGCUUACAGAUUCUGUAAGCUAGUCAAGUCCUUAUUCUAUACUAAAGACUUAUAAGCUGUCCAUUCAAACAAAUAAAAAAAGACAUAAGCUGAGUUGGCACAAACUGACAAUUUCCCCUUUGGCGACAAACUGACAUUUAGUCCCUUACCCUUUGUAUUAUUUUAUUAAGGGUUAAUUCCGUCCUGCCCCAAAUGUUUUAACAUUUUUCACCGCGUCCCCAAAUAUUUCAACAAUGCUCACUUCACACCCAAAUCCGUUAUUUUGACCCUUUAUUCUAACAGUCAAAGGCAAAUUUGAAAUUUCAUACACUAAAUAUUAUUUGAUGAUAAUAAAUUAAAUUUAUUUGAUAAUUUAAUUGAUGGAAUUAUUAUUAAUUACCUUUAAAUAAAAUUUUGUAAUGUAAAUAUUAAUUAUUAAAUUAAUAUUUUAUCUCAUUUUAUUAUUCUCUAAUUCAAGAUAAGGGGUAUUUCGGACAUUUACUUAAAUUUCAAAAAGCUACGUUAAAUAUAACUGUCAAAUUAACAAAAUUGGGUGUGGAGUGAGUAUUGUCGAAACAUUUGGGUGCGCAGCGGAAAAGGUCAAAACAUUUGGGGACUGGGUGUAAAUAACUCUUUUAUUAAAACCUUAGAGUACCAAUUCACCCUCUAUAAUUUCAAAUUCUCAAUAUACCCUCCAUUUAAUUAAAAAUAUAAUAAUUAUUAAAUGGAUUAUAAUUAUAAUAAAUUAUAAUUAUAAUUUUAAAAUAGAUGAUUAUUAUUAUUAUUAACAAGAAUAAAAAUUAUUAUAAUUAAUUAAUCUAUUAACAAUAAUUAAUUAUAAUUUUUUAGUUCAGUUGCUAAUAAUAAUAACAAUUAAUAAUUAAUUUUUGAAUAAUAAUAACAAUAACAAUAAUUAAAAUAUAAAAUAAUAAUUACAAUAAAAAUUAAUUAAGGAUUUUUUUUUGUAAUUUGUAACAAUUUAACUCAUUUUUAUUUUGAUUAUAAGAUAAAGUAAACACAUAAAUGAUAAUACAACUCAUUCUAAUUACACUGACUGCGUAUAUUGCUUUUAAAACAGCAGACUUGCGUGAGAUUACUUUAGAGUACAUCUCAAGAUUAGUAAUAUAUACAAAAGUCUGCAGAAACAUAUAUCUUGUAUACAUUUUCAUUUUUUAUAAAAUGAAAUGAAGUUGAAUAAACAUGAUUUCAUAUUAACAAGAAGAAUUUCAAAAGCUUUGUUAGAAUGAUGCGAGAUUAGAAUAUAGUAAUCUUGAAAAAUACUUGAGCUUACAGUGACCGAGGUGCGAUAGACCCACAUGCAUAUAUUCAGUCAUCAUCAGUCAUUGUUAUUUUUAGUUAUUGUGAGCCAAAUUUUCAAUUACAUAUAUUCAGUUCAUUUUUUUAAUAUAUCAAAGAGCAUAAAUUUAAUUAAGCUUAAAUUUUGAUUUUUGGAGACUAGAAGUUGGAAAGUUGUUUUAAAAUAUUAAAAUAUCUAAAAUAUUUUUCACUUAUUUGAUAAUUUUAUUUCUUUUUUUAUAAUAUAAUUUUAAAAACUCAACUGUUAAAGUAAUUUUAUAAUUUGUAAUGAAAGCUCUCAUUUAUUAACAACCAAAUAAUUAAUUUUUUUUUUUUAUGAAAGCUCUACCAACAAAAAUUCUUUUUAAAUAAAUUAUAGUUGUAAAGCUUUAUCAAACGAAAACUUAAUAGAUGUAAAAUAGAUUAUUUAAUUUUCAAAAACUCAUCUAAAAAAAAACACUAAUAGAAUUUUUAAAAAGAGCUUAUAAGAUUAGAUAAAUAUUUAUGACUAUUAAAUAAGUUAUAUCAAAUAGACACAUGAUACUAGAAUAAUAGACAAUAAUAUUUUUUGUAGUUAUUUAAUAUUUUAUAAUUUCUGUCAUAAUUAAACGAUGAUAACUCUUUUUAGAAUUACAAAAUUACAUUUUAGCUUUAAUAACAAAAUUAGAAUUGACAACAUUGUUGUAGCAUAAAAAAACAUUAUUAAAUUUAGUUUCACUACAACAACAGACACCCUUGGUUCCUUAGCUCCACGCCUCUAUCCAUUCUGCCUUGACUCUUUUUUUUUUUUUUUAACAAGAUGCCUACACUUUUAUUUGACUCAAUUGAACCUGAGUUAGUGGUUGAUAGGUCUGGUCAGUUAAUUAACCCUGAGGCCAAGUUAGUUGAUGUGUUUGCUGCGUGCAAAGUUUAUUUGACCGAAUUAACUCGGCCAUUCUAUGCUAAAUGCCCAAAGAUAUUAAUUGCCGUUUGUGAACCGACUUCGAGUUAAUUAACCCUGGGUUAAUUGGUAGGGGAUGUGGUCUUGGCCCGGCCAUGAGUUGAGUCAAUUUGUAGGGACGUGUGUGCUUGCGUUUAUUCUAUACUAAAGACUUAUAAGCUGUCCAUUCACUCGAAAAAAAAUAAGCUGUCCAUUCAAAAAAAAAAAAAAAAAAAAAGACUCAUAAGCUGAGUUGGUGACAAACUGACAAUUUCCCCAUGGUGAGUUUCCUACGUAUAUAUGAUCAUCAAAAGGCGAUGAGUGUUGAAUUUAAAGGUCAUAAGAUUUGUGAACCGACUUCGGUUUAUUCGUAGAGUGAACAUUUCCAUUCACUCGAAAAAAAAUCUACUAAAAUCUUAUAAGCUGUCCAUUCACUCGAAAAAAGUAGAAAGUGGAAGGGGAGGGGAAAGUUUAACGCCAACUCCGAUCCGCCUUCAAAUACAUGUAGGAAGGGGAAGUUGCCACCCCCGUCCAUCUCCCUCAUCUUAUCGCUUCUCUUUCUUUUCUUUUCUUUUCCAUUUCCCCUUUUUCUUCAAUCUUUAACAUUCAUCAGCAGCACAUAGCAGUUCCCAUCCGAGGAUGCAAAGCAAUCUUCAUCAGCGAAACCCUUCACCUCCAAAGUAUACGUUUUCUACUCCUUCCUCCCCCCCCCCCCCCCCCCCUUCUCUUCUACUACCCCCUGCAAAUGCUAAUAUAUGGUUUAUUUUUGCAGUGAAGGAAAUUUGAUCUCGUCGAUGCUUUACCAAGUCAUUUUUGCUUAUCUGAUUCCAGUCCUCAUUGGUAUCCUGGGGGCCAAUACUCAGGGCAGAACAGAGCCUUUGUUCAAAACACAUACAAUCAAUAUGUGGGGUUUUCUCGUGGCCAAGGUAAUCUACUGCUUCGCACUUGCAGCUGAUAUCAAGUCCCGCCUUCAUCGAGAAAAUUCUUCGCAGUUAUCAGGCCUUGUUGCGGUUGUCUCAGGAUCUGUUUCUGCAGUAUCUUUGAUCUCCACCUUUCUUCCACCGUCCAUUGGUCAUAUCAUUUUGUACACUUCAUGGUUUUUCGCUGCCACUAUCGUUGUUCUCUAUCAAUAUGGCACAUUGCUUAUGGAUGCCUGCCGUCGGUUCCACUACGAUACUUUGAAUCUACUUUUCACCAGAAUUUGGAAUUGGUUUCAGGUUAAUUAACAGCAUCAUCUCCUCGAAACAGCAGCAGAAUGAAGGGUAGAAACUUGCAGGAACCUCUCUUGAAUAACCUAAGCCACAUGAAGCGUAAUAAUUUUCAACUUUUUAGUAUGUAGGUGGCAGAAAAAUUAACUUUUUUUUUAAUCCUUUAAAAAAGUUUUAAUAUACUUAUUAAUGAUUGUUUCUGCAAUUCCCAAGUUUGAAGGGUUUAGUCUCUAGUGUAAUAUAUAUAUAUAUAUAUAUGAAAAAUUGUUAUUAAUAUAUGUACAGUUUGUUUUCGCAACUCCCAAGUUCAGUUAGAUUGCCUUUUGUUGUAUCACUUAAUUGGCAGCCUCUUUCUAAAAAGAAAAUUUUGACGUUUAUUAUUUGAUAAUUUUUAGGGAUAAUUAAAUGGGUCCUUCUAUCUUACAUGCAUGUAAGAUAUAUUCCCCUCAUAUGAAUAGUGUAUGUAUGGGACCCACACACUAUUCAUGUGAGAGGAAUAUAUCUUACAUGCAUGUAAGAUAUGGUUUGCCUAAUUAAAUAUGUUGAAUUAAAUUCAGAGGGAGUGUAAAAAAAAGAAUUCUCAAAGUAAAUAUAUCCAUUUUGUGUGUGUAUAUAUAUAUAUAUGUUUAAUAUGCCAAUAAAAUUGGAUCAGGUAUCAUGACAAUUAUUAAUGUUGAAAACAUUGGACUAUUCUAAUUAUGUAUCUAAAUCGAAAGACUGAAGAAAUUAGUAAAUAAUAAAAAAAUAUUUUAAAAUUCCUAGUACGUGAAAAAUUGAAAAAGAAAAAACAACAGCGAAAUUAUGGGCCCCGCAACUUUCGGGGAAAAACCAAAACAUGUCAACAUUUUCUCUCUCACUAUCAUUCGAAGAAGCAUUCUCACGAUCAUUUGAAAUUCUAUGAUAUCAGGUUCAAUUAAGACGAAGAGGCCGCUUUUUAUCACGAACUUUCAGGUCUAUUUUCAGUUAAUCUCACCAAAUUUGACGGAUUUGUUCACUAAUUUCAUGAAUUUCACCUCUCACUCUCAUUCGAUUGAAGAAGCUUUCACUUCCAUUUGAAUUUUUUCGAUCUCGAUCGGUUUCAAUACAGCGGAAGAGGUUUGAUUUUAAUCUCUCUUUUAUUCAAGAAUUUCAUAUUAAUCUCACCAAAUUUGAUGUGUUUUUCCUCAAAUUCAUUGUUAUGGAUCUAAUUCAUUCCUCCAAUUCAUUGUUAGGGAUCCAAUUUAUGUCUCUUAAUUUGAAAAGUUUAGGUUUGGGCUUUGAUUAUUUGAUUAUUAACCCUGUAGCCUUUGGAUACUGUCAAAGAGAGUGUAUUAAUCCACAUUAAGUAUGUUGUAUUGGAACUAUUAAGCGGAAACUAGAUGGCUUCUGUUUACUAAGCGAUACAAGAAUUGAGCUAUAAUUAGGCCAGCCUUAUGGUUGGCCGUAACUAGAUGGGUUCUGUUUACUAACUUAUCUGUAUUUUCGUCUUUGGUAACUCAUUCUUUAUGCUACAUUAGGGCAUUAGAAACAGAGCUUGAAAAGAAAUUAGUACCUGCAUUCAUUGUACUGAAACUUGGACCAGCUUGUUCAUUCGUAUACAACUAUUAUAGCUGCGCAACUCCAUUUACAAUUCCUUUGCAAUCAGAUGAGUUUAUUUGAAAGGAUAGGCUUCAUGUCGGGACGUCUUUUGGUCUUCCUUUAAUGUCUGGUAACUAAUUUGUUCAACACUUUCUAGUGGCAUGUGGCAACUGUUAUCUUCUUUGGAUGUACUCAUCAUUGUACACGGGGUAAGCGGUGAUCUUCAUUACAUUAAUUUUUUAUAUCUGGAUUCUAGGCUUCUUACGCACUUAUGUGAAUCAUUUUUUGGCACGAUCAUUUCAUAAAUGUUACUCUAUGGCUUCCAGAAAUUUCUGAAGAUUUUUUCCACCGAGUAUUCUAUGUUUUACCUUUCAAGGGGUUUAAAGUGAAAAAUGAGUUUACUGGACUUUGGAAAUUGGUGUAGCUAUUCUGCGGCCUAGUAGCUCUUAGAAUUUUACAUCAACCCCCUUUCCUAGUUAUUUGAUUUCCUCUCAUAUUUGUGUGCUGAAUUACAGGUCCAUCAUUGGAAUCUUAGAUUAUAUGCUUGUAUGUGGCUUUGAGAUGUGCCUCUAUUGUACUUAGAUGGUAUUGCGAGCAAAUUGCUAGUGCUACAUCAGGUAUAUUGACAGAACAACCAACACCUGGUUUAUAAUACAUAAUACAUAUAUUUAUAUCAAGCUAUACUUUAAUGAACGAACAUGUUCUUCCUCUAAAUUUCACAUAUUUGGUGGCAGAAUGGAAAACAAAUAGUGCAAGAAGGUGUAUUAAUUGCCUUGGCAUCAGUUGCUGACUUAUCUCGGGUAUUCUAUAAAAUAUGCUUUGAUUAGAAUUUAUUUGUUAUAGAAAGUUGUCUGACAGGAUGAUUUUGUUGUAGUAGCUGCUCAGAUACUAACUUCUUUUAACCGGACAAAAAAGGAAUGUAGGGAAGCAAAGUAUAUGUUCGAUUAAAAGAAAGGUAUGUACAAAAGUGAACAAUCUGUCGCUCCUUAUAGUAUCUCUUCUGCAUUUGAAAUUUUUUUUUUUUGGUGAAAAAAUAUUUCUAGAUACAUAUAAUGGUCUUUCCUGUCUGUUCACCUAAUAUUUAACUAAUGUUGAAGGCUGAAGAUUUAAUUAAUGAGCAGCCAGAAGGAGUCCAUCCUGUAUUGAUUACCAUAACAGCUGUUAGUUACUGUGGUUUAAAAACAAAACUUUAAAUUUUGAGUUUCAUUUUAUCCUAAAACCUUAACGUCAAUGUUUUCAGACCAACCAUCCUUUCACCACUCUAAAUCAGAGAACAUAUCAGUAAUGAUCUUUAAAUUUUGAAUCAAACCAGAUGUUGACUUUUUACAUGUUAGAGUUGAAUCCGAAUUGCAAUUAAUUCGUUAAGUGAAACCAUGAGCAACCAGAUGCUUUCAUUGAAUUAGAUAAUUAGAUUGGUGUACGUUGUUUACUUGGAUAUGUGAGUUGGACUGUUCUCCAUAUGUUGAAGUUGGUUAUGCAAGUUGAAACCAGUCUGUUAAAGCGUGAUGUUGACUUUUGGCAAGUAAGAGUUGGGAUUUCAUGUCUUGAAUCAAAGCUGAGACUUCAGGUUGAAAGUAAUUGCAGCUUUAGCCUGUUUAGCAUAGGUUGAUGAGACUGAGUGGUGUACUCUAAAAGAAAGGAAUGUUAAUUACAUGAACACAAAUUUUUAUUCUAUAAGCUUAGUUGUGAAUCCUCUUUUAUAAGAAAGAUUCGCUUAGCAUUUUCUCUUACUAAGGAUGAACUAAUGUCACUAACCCUGUCCAAGUGAAAUUAUGUUAAAAGGCUAAGCAUGCAUUAAGUUAGUGUGAGAGUCCCCUGAAGUCUAUGGCAGCUUUGAGCUAGAGCUGAGUGUUCAUUCAGCAUUUUGGGUUUUGGUUGUUCUCUAUCUUGUCUGAACCCACUAGAGAUAAAGCCUCAGAGUUACAUUCCACCCAUGAUAUUUGAGUUUAUCGAGUUACACCAUGUCUUAUACUUUUUCCUGAGAACAAGUAUAUAUGUUAAAUCAGGUAGAAAAAAUUAUUUACUAGUUGUUAUGGGUGCAACUCAUGUUUUGAAACAUUUAAGAUUUUGAGCCAUUACGUUACUACUCCGUUGGUUUUAAGGUACUAAAAGACAGUCACAACAACAGCUUGUUCAUUCAUAGACAACUAUUAGAGUUGCGCAACUCCAUUCAUAUUCCCCCAGUUUUGGCCACAGCUGUCUUGUGUGCAUGGAAUUUAGAGAACAAAUAAAUUUAAGUGUAGACUAAUAUUUCUUUCCUUCUAUGAUAUAUCCAAUUAACCACAUUUUUGAAUUACACUUUAUUUUUUGUUUUCCUCAAAAAUGCAUUUCCUCCUGAAGAUUUUUUCCUCUGAAUUUUCUGUGUUUCACCUUUCAAGGGGUUUAAUUUUAUGGAAACAAACUUUUAAGUUUAUAAGAUAGGACCUUACACCAUCAAUUAGGACUUAAUGUUCUGGGGAAUGACUCAGUAUUUAGGUAGAAACUAUUUCAAAUGCUGUGAAAUGAGAGAUUUAGAGUUUUUAUCUUUUAUUUUUCGUCCUCUGAUAAAUUAUGAUAUUGAUAUGCUCUCUGAUUUUGUAUAUGCUGUCACAAGUCUUAUAUUUCCAUGUGACUCAAUUUUUUUUUUUUCCUGAUCAUGCGCUAAUUUCUGUUUUGGUGAGUGGUUUAUAUGCUUGUAUGUGGCUUUGAGAUGUGUCUCUAUUGUACUUAGAUGGUAUUGCGAGCAAAUUGCUAGUGCCACUUCAGGCAUACUGACAGAACAAUCAACACCCAGUUUAUAAUUCAUACAUUUAUAUGACACUCUACUUUAAUUUAUUCAUCAAGUGAAAAAUCAUGCACUGGCAGAUUUCAUCAUUGAAUUGGAUAAUUAGAUUGGCAUUUGGUGUUCACUUGGUCAUGUGAAUAG